CGGCUGAUCUGACCGUCUAUCUAAAAUAUGAGAGUCAUCUCCGCUAUUGAUGAUGAUCUAAUAAACAACCGACAAAAUAGUUUUAAAAUGACUUCUGCCUUAAUAUGUAUGGUUAAAUCAAGCGAUGCGUAGGAAUUUCUUGCACAUUAGAUCUGCAGAGGAUGUGAACCCUUAAAAAAAAAAAAAAAAUCUAAGCUAAAGUGUUAUAUUUUCCAUUAACUACCACUUUUCUCUUUUUUUUUUCCCUAUAUAUUGAGCUUAUUUAGAAGAGUCUUUUGAUUCUUCUAUCAGUUUUUACCUGUCACAAUUAAGAUCAUUCACAUAACAGCAUCUGGAUUUUUUUUUUUUUUUUUUUUUUUGUUUCUAUCUCCUUCCUCUCUCUUUGAAAGUUUUCAAAUUUUGUUUUUUCUUUUUUCUAAUUCAAGCAUAAAUCCAUCCAUACAUUUUCCUAUUUCAAAAUAUUCACCACUAUUUGAAGCACCCUAUACUGAAUCUUAUGCACAAUUUUUUUGUUGUGUGCACUUAACACAAGUUCCCUUCCACAUGCUAUAUAUAUACUUAUCAUCUUUGCAGUUGCUUCAUUAACUGUUUUGAUAUUAGUACCAUGCAGGAUGAUAGAAAAGAUAUUGGAUUACUGGGAGUGCUACACCAAGAUCUAACUCCAACACUCGUCGCGCGACGAGCGAAGAAAAUCAACGUCGACGCUUUCGACAACUAGCCUGAGCUGUUUAAACAUGUAAGUUAGUUCACUGAAAAAUAGGGGACUCUGAUCAGAACAUGGAACUUCAUUUGUAAAGCUAGCAUACAAUUCAAUGGAUUGGUAUUUAGUAUUCCAAACUUAUCAGAUAGUUUACAGCAUUUUUUUUUUAAUGCUAUUAUUCUGUAUAAAAAUUGACAUUGUAUUUGUAAAAUUGAUUUUUGAAUAACUUUGGAAUUCAUAUUUUGUUUUGUAGCCUUACAUAGCACAAAAUAGUAAAAGGAAUUUGAUUAUUCCGCACCCUACAACGGAUAUACGAUUUUGACAAAUAUAUUAGAGUUCUCAUAAUAAAAUAUGUGGGAACCCCAGUUGUAUUGUGCCAAUUUCGCCAAUUUCAAUAAGAAAAGUAAAGCACUCUCAGAAAGAUUAUAAAUUAAAAAAAUAAUGGCCUUUAAAAAGAUAUCAUCCUAUAAUCAAACACGCAAAAUGUACUGAAUUGACAAAUAAUCCUUAUGAGAUACGCUGAGACCACUAUUUUUCUAAUGAUUUUAUCGUUGCAACUUACAUAUUUUUUAACGUAUGAGACCUGUUUGGUGAAGCGCGCUAGUGCUGCACCACAUUCACUACUGCAAAAAAGCUCUAAUUUAAAGUUUUUACUGCAACAUGCUCUGCACUCUGUCUGCACCACAAACUGAUUCUACAUUAUCACAGUUUGUUAACUUCUACAUUCAACCAAAUGCUUCACCUGAAACCCCCCAACCAAGCAAAAAACCAAACUUUUUGUACCAAUAUUUUCUCCUUUUUCUUUUUUUUUUUGCUCCUCACAAAAAAGUCACAGUAAGUAAAUAAGAAGCCCAUCCACACUCAAAAAUAUAAUAAUUUUUUUGUUUUACUGUCGCAUCAUAUGCUAAGACAAGCUCUGGAACAAUAAAACUCAAACAGUAAACUUUCCUCGGGCGAGGCAGAUGCAUAUCCAGUGGAUCCGAAAAAUCAGCAAAUUACAAACAAAGUUCCAAGAAAAUUAAAAACACUUUUUGAGUCCUCAAAAUGGCUAACUCUCAAUCAAAAGAUACGGAAAAGUGCAACUAUGAUUCACUCAGGAUCUUGUUUCACCAUUCUGCUUACCACAAGAUAUUGGUAAUAUCCCAUAAUUCUUAACAAACAAACCAUAAAUAGAUCAACUUGGCAGUUUUGGUAUCCAAUGCGGCGACAAAUGAAUGUGAAAUAUCAAACUCGUAGAAAGACCUCUCGAAACAGAGUCCCUGCCUUGUGAAAUGCUUAUAGGAAAAAAAAAAAGACAAUUUAGCCUCUUCGAGGGCUUAAUUUAAGGUACAACAAAAGGAACCCUAAUCUGGUUCGCGGAGAUUGCAUUGAGCAUUUGAGAAGCAACUUUAGUCACAAAGGCAAAAUCUGAUGUACCAACAAGAAAACAAUUAGGACUGCUGAUUUAAAUUAUGUCUUUAUGCAUGCUUGACGAUGUGUGAAAUAUUUUACAACGCAGAUUCCAAGGGCGCUUUCCGAAGUUCAAGUUACACUGAAAUCCUACACACGGUGGUGCGCAACAUGAACAACGCCACCUAUAAUUUUGUCAUAUCAAAAUUCCUAUCUGCCCGCUAAGAAGCUGCACCUGGGUCGUUGAUAACACCCAAGAAGUCAUCCUUUAUCGUCCCAAUGCAGAACUGCACAUAUAGAAAAAGAAAAAACAAAAAAAAAAGAAGAUACAAUUAUGUAUGCAUAAUCUAGAAAUACAUUAAUAAUCACACCAUUAAUUAUCUUUAUUUUCAUAGUAUGCCAGUCUUAAUGAAGGUAACAUUAUGCACCAAACAUCAAGUAGCUCAUAAGUACUUCGCCAAGUCAUAGGAAGCAGAAAAAUGAACUAUCAGAAUCUUGGAAGCAAAUCUGUCUAUCCGAUAAUCAAAUAUCAAAAUAUAAAGAGCAAAACACUACAGACCAUAGUUUCAAAAUAAUCAAGAAAAACUCGCUAUGGAAUUGCACAUUAUUCUAAUAACUCGGCCAUAAAUCUUUCUUUCAAAUGAAUCUAAUUAAGCCGACUCCGCACAGGUGCUUUAGCAUCAACAUGGAACUUCCAUUAAGAUUACUUGAAAAUUAUGAAAUUGUCAGCAUCGUUUUAUGUACAGAAGUAGCAUUUUAAUGGAGAUCUCCGAGACCAAGCAAUAGAUAUAAAAAUAUUGAACGUGCUUUGAGGUUACAAACUUGCAUAAACUCGUAAAUAGAGUUCUUCCGGCAUGAACAUUAGCCAUGAAACUUGACUAAAAGGAACAGGAGACGUACAAUCUCUGUGGCAUCAACACGAGUCCCAAUAAUCUUUAGCCGGACCUCACUAUCCUUUUGUAUUUUCACCUACAAACCAUCAAUACAAAGAGGUUAGCAAAAAAGAAAAGCAUGCUGGCACAUUUUAUUCGCAGCCUGAAAAAAGAGCAAAGAUCCAUUCUAAAAGAAAAGUAGUUAAGGUAAAGAAAUUUGUUAUUAUUGAAUCUUGACUAAAUUAAUGCAUGCAUUAUCAAUUCAUACAUCUGCAUACAUGCAUCUUAAACUUCUAAAUCCACAUUAUGUCAGAACUUCAACUACCCAAUGUAUCAUUAAUGUUACAGAAUGUUGCAAAUGUUAAAUAUGCUCUUCAAAAUUGUAAAAUAUUGCUUGCGUUUACUUACAGAUAAUUAUCAAGAAAUAAGUGUAAAGCCCUCUUCUUUAACCUACCUUUCUCCCGUAUUUUCUUUUCUUGAUCACUCAACCAAUUCUAAGCAAAUGAAAAGAGGUAUCUAAUUUUUUCCAACUAAGAUCCUCCCUUUCAUGUUGGACAUGGUGACUCUCAGGCAUGCACCCAAUCAACACACCCAUACCCAAAAGGAAAAAAGUUCUCUAUCCAGGUAGUGGUGGCCUUGGGUAGAUUUAGUGAGCGGCAGAACUUAGGCCCAUUUAUUCCAAAACUCGCAGUGGCAUGAAGUUCUCUACCCUGACCCAGUAUUAUGCCUCUCAAAUCACUCCAAACCAGGCCGAUUCUGUAGCAUGAGUAUUGUCAUCCUUCAUUCAGUUUUGUGACAGCCAAUCCUGCCACAAUCUACACGUUCUGAACAAUAAAGUACUCAACAAUCAUAUCUACAUAUUACAAUAAAAACCUCUGUUGGGUUAGAUUGUAAGCAAUAGGGCAUCAACAAUCAUCAAAAUAUGCAUAGCAAGGUCAAAUACAAAUUGUCUUGUUUCUUCUUCUAAUCAUUCAGUGAACAAUUAGUCUAUUACCAUAUACCACUGAAAGUAUACUUUCGAUUCGUCUCAAAAUAGUCACAGCCACCAGUAGAACUCAUUAAGAAAUAAUGAACAGAGUGAACUAUAAUCCAUGCCUUCUCACUCAGUUAAAAAGAUUGAAAGCCAUAAUUCAGCCAACAUGCUAGAACUCAUAUUUCAGUCUGAUUCCUGUUUUUAGUGUUUCACUUGUAACUGUGAACAUAUAAGAAAUGUAGGAAAAGGAACAAAGCAUACCGAUCCAUCAGAUGUUGUAUAGUUUGGCAUAUCUCCAGACUGGAACUCCAUGUCAUCAGGGAUCAACUGAAAAAAAAGAAAAACAAAGAAACAAAAAACAGACAGCAACAAAGAAGGUAUCAGCAACAAAGAGGGAAAAAGAGACAUUAAAUUCCAUCAUAUCAGACAAGAGCCUACUACAACUUGAUCUACAGGGGUUUCUCGACUUGUACCAUGCCAAUCUUAAUUCCAUACCUUUCAAGUUAAAACCCAUGAGGCUACAAACUAAAUUUAUGUGUUUUCUCAACUAUUUUGUACAGAAAAAUUGUAUAUAUAUAUGCUAUUCUGAAAGAGACCCUUACAUUCACUUUUUUUCUGAUUGAGCACCACCUUUUGAUAUGUUUAAUUUCAGUGGUUGAAGCCCCAUCAUGAUCUUUUGAUUUAUAUAACUUUAGUCAAUCAAAUUGGGACAUUUUGAUAAUCUAAAGUUAUCUAACAAUGAUUCUGCUAAACUAAAUGACUUUAACCACUGUUUAGUAAAUGAAACUGCAGAUUUCACUAACAAUUAACGGCUAAUAGCUACAGCUGACGCUAAAUUUUAAAAAUUCCCACUUUAACAAACUAGGGCAACUUGAAUCCAGAAAAUAAAGUCGUCAAUUUCAAACCAGCCUAUAGUUUUAGGUGUUUCAUCACAUUUUCACUUUUUUUUUUCCUUUGUGUGUGUGUAUUCUACCAUGCACAUACCUAAACCACUCAAACAAAUUACCAAUUACAAGAAAACAACAGAAACAAAAAUUCUUACAUGAUUCGAAACGAAAAUCUGCACCGGCCCUGCCUCUGCGAAGAAACCCAUCUGCGGAAACAUUAAAACAAAAAAACGAAUAAAUAAAUAAAUAAAUUCAUCAAUCCAUCCAUCCACCACGCCUUAAAAUCCCGAAAGAAACCCUAAAUGGAGAUAUCGAGAUCGAGAUCGAGAUCGAGAUCGAGAGACCUUGUUGACCAUGGUGACCACGGCCUCGAGGAUCUCGCCCUUGAAGGGGCGGAACACGACGCACUGGUACUUGACGGGGAAGGUGACGAAGCCGGUGCCCUCCCUGAUGAGCCCCUUCCCGAUCUCCUCCACCCCGGUGAUCGCCACCACGAACCCAUGCCUCCCACUAAAACCGAAGCAAAGAAGAGAUCGCCGAAGGGGGUUUAGGGUUUAGGGCAUCCUCUGUAAGAGUUAGGGUUAGGGUUAGGGUUAGGGUUAGGGUUAGGGUUUUACCUGCAGGUGCCCUCGACGUCCUUCAUGAGCUUGGAGACGAGCUUGUCGCGGAGGUGGGGCCCGAAGUGCCGCGGGUGCAGCUGCAUGUUCCGCUCCAACACGAUGUGGAAGAACAUCUCCUCUCUCUCUCUCUCUACUUUCUCUCUCCUCUCUCUCUUAUUACUAUUUAUAUAGGUAGGAAUAAUUUCAUAUGCAUCCCUACGGAGUUUUAAAAUUGCUGAUUUAUCCUUGCAAAAUUUUAAUUAGAGCAAUACUUUACGUGGCGUGGCGGGCAAUUCAACUCGAUGUUCGCGAGUCUGCUCAUGUUCGAUUCGAAAUAAAUUCGAGAUCGUUCGAUUCGUUUAAUAUUUCACCUCGAAAUUUUAAUGAGCAAAACACGAGAUGAGAUAAGAUCGCUGAUGAUCGGUUUGAUAUAGUUUCGAGUAUAUAUAUAUUAUAAAUUUUUUCUAUUUAGAUUUUAAACCAAUUCAUAUGUGAAAAGAAUUAUAUUUUGUGCAAUUUUUUAUAGAGUAAAAUUCUAAUUUUUAAAUUUACUUGCAGCUUUUCAUCUAGUAGUAGGGCUAUUAUUUUAACUUGCUAUCAAAGAGCUGAAUUUUUCACCUCGAUAUUUUAACUACUCUGCUUGCGCUAGGCUCGUGUAAUAAACAAGCAAACGUGGGCUCACUUGUAGGAGUUUUGAGCUACUAAACCUACAAAAUUUUUAAAUAUAAAAAUAAGUAUUUAAAAUUUAUAUUUAUAAAAAUAGUUUGAUAACUUUAAAAAUGGUAAAUGAUUCACCGCUUUUACUCUAAUUUGUAUAUUUUCUACCUCCAAACUUUAAAAGAUGUAUAGUAUUAAAUAUUAAAAAUAGUUUCAAUUUUUUGAAAAAAGCGGUGAAUGAUUUACCGCAUUUCGAAAGUAGUAAAUGAUUCACCGUAUAAAUCUAAUUUUGUAAAUAAAUUUUCAGAUUACUAUUUUUAUAAUUAUAGUAUUUUCUUAGUCUAUUAAUAAAAAAAAUUUCUCUCAUGUUCAGCUUGUUUGAUCCAGUAGAUUCCAGUCAUGCUCGAUAUCAGCGUUUUAAAAUUUUUUAGAAAACCUUGACGAUACAGUACUUGACUAAUUGAAUCGAUGCCGAAAAUGUCAAAUCCUCUGAAAGAGAAAGUAGGCAUUGCGUAUAGGAUCGAAAUAGCCGCAGCCAUGGAGAACGGUAGUGAGUGUGGUGGAAAUGGACUUAAUACCAUACGUGGGCAUAUAGGAGAGGAGGUUAGGCACUAAAGUAACGAAAGGAUAAAGAUUAGGGACUAACGGUGCAAUUAAUUCUCAACGCUAAGGAUCUGAUUGCAAAAAAGUAAAGAGUUGGGGAUGAAAACGAAAAAGUUAGCACAGGAACUAAACUGCACGAAACGUAUAGUAUAGGGACCAUAAAUACAUUUUACCUUAUUUCUUCUGUUCUUGUUCUCUAUAUAUAUAUAAUAUAAACCCUCGCGACCUCGUCGUUCUCUCUCUCUCUCUCGCUCGGCCCCGAAAACGAAACCCUAAUCGAGGUAGGGGACGCGAAUCCCUGCGAUUUCUCCUCUAAUCCCUUCUCAGUUAUUAUCCUUAUUAAACCCUAAUCGGUUGGAUCGUUGUGGUUGUUGCAUAAACCCUAGAUUUCGAGCCCUUGAUUCAUGGAUCCGCAGCAACCCGAACCUGUGAGCUAUAUUUGCGGAGGUAUAUGUCUCUUUCCUUGUGAUUUAUCUUUUGUACUGAUCAUAAUGUAUUGAGACGCCCCCUUAACUUUAUUUUCUUUUGAUUGAUACCUCCUUGCUUUUUUUUUUUUUAUUUGAGUUAUUCUACUUGGUUAAAUUGGGGAUUUUGUGAAUUUAAUAGUAGUUGUUGACUGAUACAGUUUUGUUUGCUAAAAACCGAUCAGUGCCAUCAAAUUUUACGGAAUCGCUGUUUGAUUUAGUGAAAUUCUCAAAGCAUUUGGCUAAAAGCACACAAAUAAAAUAAAAUUGGAAGUUAGAGGGGGUGUUGAUAAAAAAAAAAGAUUGACGGAGACAAAAUGGCUAGUAGUUGAUGGGGUCUAAAUACAUUUUCACCAAAUAAGUUUAUAUUAGUGCCCAAUUUCUAUGAUAAAAUGAUUGAACUGGAUUGAUGACUAGAUUGUGGGGCGGAGAACACGCUGAAGCCCGGCGAUGUGAUUCAGUGCAGAGAGUGUGGAUACCGCAUCCUUUACAAGAAACGCACCCGCAGAAGUAUGCGUACAUUGAAUUUCUUUUUUUUUUUUGCUUGUUGAAGUAUGGUGGUAUUUUGUUUGUUCCUGUUAUUUUGAUUCAGUUCUUUGGUUGGAUGUUGCUGCUGAUGAUGUGACAUGUCUCAAUUUCAAGCAUGCUUCUUGCUCUCUAUUAAACAUCUAGGAAAGUUUCGAGCCUCAUGCAUAAUUGCACAAGUCCUCGAGGAUUGGCUCAUCUUGCUUCGAGUUUCUGGCUUAGACUAUCAUUCCAUUAAAAGGAAAUAUUGUGUGAAAAGCAUAAGACGUCACCUAAUUGGACGAGCUGUGUUCAUGGGGCAAUUUUUUUUUUCCUUUUUUUUUUUACGAAGAAGCAUAAAAGAAAUUUGUCUACAUCACAGUGCAUAUGUAAGUACUAUUAUUUCAAGGAAAUUACUCAUAGGUUCAAUCUUUGAUGCAAACCGAGAGGUUGCCAAAAUUGAAUUUUCAAGUUUGCUUUUGUUUAAAGGUAUUUCUUGAAAUAAACUAGCUUCAAUUUAUCGAUUCCGGCGAACUUUACUAUAAUUAAAGCAAGGAAGCAAAAAUUUCAGCAAGAUGAAAAAUUAAAAUCGAAUUGAAGCAAAACUAAGAUAAUGAUAAACCUUCGAUAUAUGAGAUAAUAACAACCAACUGAAAAUAUAUAUAAUAGUUUCAAAAGGUAAAUUCGGCUUUAUCGGACUUAAAGCUUUAGGUUUGGUUGUUUGGCAAAUAUGGUUGAUAAUGGUGAAAGGCUAGAUUAAAAGGGGAUAAUAGGAUGUCAUGAGAUGAGAGAUACAAAAAGUGCACCGUUCACACGAUUGCGGGGGAUCCACGAUCGACGAGGAGGGCGGUACACCACGGGUAGAACUUCGGCAACGGGGAAGAAGAAGAUGAGGUAGUGACUUGGAAGAAGAGGAGAGGUAGAAGUAGAAGCCGAUCUUGUCAUGAGGAAGAAGUGACAACGAUCAAGUUGAGGAAGAAGACGAUCUCGGCGCGAGGAAGAAGCAUCGAUGAUCUCACCGGGAAGUAGAACACCAAGGAUAAAGAGUAAGAGUAGAAUUUUCUAUUCAUCCAAAUAUAUCUCUCAAGGCUUCAAGAACCAUAUAUUUAUAGUGUUGAGAGCCUUCUGAUAAUAAAUUAUUGUCUUUUCGUUUUCAACAUAACACGGUCACCCAAGAGUCAUGAUGCAUAGAAAACGAAGCAAUUUUGAAAAUUUCAAAGGUCUUUUUUUUAUUUUUUGGGGAAUCCCAAAGGUCUUUUUGGUAUUGUUUUUUUGUUUAUGGGAGAAAAGGGUUUGGGUUAGCCAAAUCAACUAAAACUAAAUGAUUUAAGUCCGAAUCAAACACAAACCUACAAAAUAAAAGAAAAUUGCAUUCGAAAAUAAAACGAGAUUUAUGCUGCAUCAAUCUUUGAUGACCAGUCCGAUGAUCAAGCAUUAUGUUUUGCUAUGUAUUUUCCUAUAUGUUUAUUUCAUGUAUUACGGUACUUAUAAUAUCAAGGAAUUAGCGAGGGCGAACUUGGUCCUCUCCCCAAGAAUCCUAGGUGAGUUGAAUCCUAGAAGAGUUGCGGCCUCAAACUAGUGAUUGCAUACUAUACAUGUUAGAUUUAUCCAACUGCUCAUUCUAUUCCGCACCAUACUCUUGACAGCUCAUCUUUUAUUCUUGUCGAGUCUUUAGAGGUGUGUUUUUGUCCCCUUUUUUUUUCCUAUUCCUUUGAAGUUUGGACUGAUGCAAUUGUUUUUCUUGGGCCUAGAUGUAGAAAGACAUAAACACUGAAAUCACGUUGUUUUCAUUUUUGUCCUUCUAUGGUAGCCGUCCCCAUUUAAUGAGUGUUUGGUCGGAAGUGAAUGUUUGGACGCCGGAUGUUUAAGUUCUUCAUUCUUAUCAUAGAAUCACGACUCUGUGUACAACAUAUUGUGACGCUGUUUAGUAUUAGGUUCUGAUACUUUUGAGUUGAAUGGUGGCCUGUUUGGGCAAUUCAGUCUUCUUUGAUAUAGGAGCAAAAUGGAUAUUUGAUUGAGCCACAAUAUAUUCUGUUAGGGCAACAGGAUAUGCUUUAAUCAUUUCAAAAUGGACUGUAGUCCAGACCAGUAUUUUGAGCCCAUCCAAAGGGGUAUUAAUGCAAACUACUGAUACUGUGAUAUCAUAAUGUCUUAAUACUUUGUUUUGAAAUUGCUUCGUUAUCACAAAGUAAUACAUGCCGUGAGCCCGUGCUGAUUUUCAUCUAUUUUAGAUUUUAUUUCUUUAUAUUCAUCUGCCUCGCCUGUUUUAAUCCGUUAACACUCCCUUGGUCUCCUACUAACUUCUGUCAUCUUUGUUCCAGUUGUUCAAUACGAAGCACGCUGAGGAUGAAUGCAGAUUAAUUUCGCCGGUGAGAAACGCUAUGUAUGUUUUGUCGAACUUGUGAUCUAUAACGUAAUAUUGGACGUUUAUCAGUCAGAUCAAAUUCUUUUCUUGCAUUGUUUACAUGGUGUAGCCGUGGUUGCAUGAUUGUUCUGUGAUGUGUUUGCGACUUACACUCCGAGGGAGUUCGGUUUGCUAUCUGUUGCUGAAUCUAGAUAUAAACAUGGCAUCGCACUAAUAUAAAUCUAGAAUUAUUUCAUGCUGUAGCAUAUAUCUGAGGAUGAUCGAGCUUUACCUCAAAUAGUGUAGUCUUUGAGGUCUAGAUCGUAAUUUACUGCAAGGCCCUUGGCAUUUAGGGGGGUGGUAAUUAAUAGAGCAUGCAGGACAGUUGAGGUAUGAGCUGUUGAAUAGUACUGAAUGUUGUGCUGAGAUUCGCAUGGAUGCUAUUCAAUGAAUCAUAGAGUCGUACUCCUGUUGUCCUAACCAAAUUCUUUUCCACAUUUAUGUGGUUUCAUUAGAUGGGAGUGUUGAUAUGGGCAGUCACUUUGCAAAAUUAUCGUCACUCUUUCUCGGUAGUGUACUUGAAAAAAUCUUAACCUCUAUUGUUUGAUGCGAUUGUGAUAUGAGUUGCAGGUAUGACGGCGUCGGCAUACACCAAAACUACACUUGAAAUUUGUAUGUUUGUUCUACCCAACUUUUGCUUCCUCUCUCAUUUUUCGCUUUUCGAGUGAAAGCUCGCAGGCAAAUUUUAUUAAACUAGAGAGGUUUAGUUGUACAAGGAUGUAGGCAAUGCCAGUGUGUAGAGUUAACACUGUCUCCAAAACUCAAAUAGCUGUGUGCUGAACCAUUGAAGAGAGAGUGCAAAGUUACAGACCACUUCAAACUAAGUAUCUUUAGAUUCAAAACAGAGAACCUGUGAGAUUAAUGCAUGAAUAAAUAUGUAAGUGCUAUGUUAGAGUGACACCACCAAAGUUCUUUACAAUUACUGGAGCAUCCUCUUGCAACAAAAUUGACUUUCCCUAGUAUCAAAAGAAAAAAGAAAAAAAAAAAAAAAGAGGGAGAAGCUUGAGUAUCAUUAAAUUGGUAAAAGUGUAUGAAAUUGGCAUCAACCAUCAUCUAUUUUGACCUCAUUCUUUAAUCUUUAAAAGUUUUAAUUUUACUAUCUAAUCUUUUAAUUUUUUUAAAAAAAUGUGAGCCUGUUAAUGAUUUUUUAUGGCUUUAAUUGAUAUAUAUUAUAUAUGAUUUAUGUAAUUAUAAAUUUAUUGAAAUAAUUAGUUAGCUUAUAUUUAUGUUAGAAGAGUUAUCAAAUAAAUUAAAUCAAAUAAAUAGAAGAAUCGUCAAAUAAAUUAAAUCAAUUAAGUAGAAACUUUGGAUAUUAAAAUCAAACAUUUUAAAAGAUUGGAUAGUCGGAGUCCGGUUAUAAUACUAUCUAUAACAUCAAGCAUUUGGCACUACCAAGUUCUGCGGUUAGAUCUACCCUUUUAAACAAAUUAUGUCCGUUAGAUCAUACUAUCAAUCAACUACUCACUCAGCCCUAAGGAAUCACUAUCAUUCUAACCGCACAUCCCUUCAUUCAAGGGCCGAAAAUCUAAUAGCACCACUGACUUAGUUCUUUUAAUAAUAUUUUAGCCUAGUUCAAAUAGUCGAAGCAAAAUGAUCUAUAGUUUAGAUAAGUUCUGUACAUUUUUACCCACUGAAUAUCGCAAUUGUAAAAUUGAGUAGCAUAGUUGCCUUCUCUAGGGUAUCUAAUCUUUUAAUCCAUAGCAUUAUGGAGGUUCAAAUCUUUACCUUCAGUCUUCAGAUCAGAUUCCAAUUCCAGCGUCCCAUGAUGAUCAGAUUGGGUUACUUUUUGUGUAGUUGAUACAUUUUUUAGAGGCUGUUUGGUUAUAUAUAUCCACAACUUUACUAUAGUUAUAAUUAUUUAUAAAUUUAAAUACGGUAUUUGGUUUGAUAUAUUUGAAUCUAACUAUUGUUAGAGCUGCACGGGAAGGUUUAACUGCAUUAUGUUUAAAUUGACCGCAAUUCUAACUGUAGUUAAACGAAAAAUAAUUCUAUCUUUCUAAUCACAUUUUACAUAGAAAAUAAUACUUUUUCUGCAUGAGAGGUAACCUCAGAGUGAUGAAACUUAUAAAUGCAAAAUUUUCAAAUGCAUGCAGCCAAAUAAAUUAUUUAUGAAUGCAGCACUUUCUGCUACAUUUAAUCAAACAAAAUGCAUAUAGUUAAAUGUUGUUGCUGUAUUUUUUUUUUUUUUUUUACUUGGUAAAAAUGUACAAAACUUACUUGAAUUAUGAAUCAUUUUGAUUUGACUAUCUAAUCUUUUCAAACUUUUGAUUUUAUUAUUCAAGCUUUUAAUUUGUUUGAUUUGAGUUAGUCGACGACAUUUGACUUUAAAAUUUAAGAUACUUGAUUAUUUUAAUGAAUUUGUAAUUGCGACAAUUACAUAAAAUAUGCUAACUAAAUCUGUCAAAAUAAAUAAUGCAAUUCAAAUUUGAAACUCAAAGUGUCAUCGACUGACUCAAAUCAAACCGACUGAAAGGUUAGUAAAAUCAAAAUUUUGAAAGCUUAGAUAGUGAACUAAAACUGGUUCAUAGUUUAGAUAAGUUCUGUACUUGUUUACCUUUUAACUAUAUGCGUAUCCAGUUACACCAUGUUACGAUUAUAUCUAACCACGGCACCUCAAAGGGGGCUUUCUUGUUAGAAGUAGGGAUGCAAAUGGAUCCCGGUUAGUGGAGCUCCCAUUUCGAUCCGCACCGAAUGGGGCAGUAAGUGGGAAUAAAAAAUAUUAAAAAAUGUAAGCCGUCCAGAUUCGUUCUGAUCCGUCAAGUAAAUGGAAUGAGAGACAGAAGAAACCACCACCCUCCCUUUUUUUUGCAAUCAGAUUCAUAACCUCUAGUAUUAAUUUCACAAUGGUCCCUAACCUUGACCUAUUUUUUUCACUUUGGUCACUAAACCAUUCACCUAUAAGCAUGCUCAUUGCAUCAACCCUAAUCUCACCAAAAGCCCAAUGUAACAUUCUCCGCGACUGCAACCACCUUGAGCGCAGCUACAACCACCUCGAUCUUGCACAUGAUGCCUACUGCCUCAUUCGCAACAUCAAAUUAGACGUGCCACCGAGCUCUUUCGAAAACUUCGAAAAAGUCGGCGCCAAAAUCAACCGAAAAGCUACCGAUGAUAACCGUGAUCUCCACGCUAUCACGACUUCAGCGUUUUUGUUCACAAAGUCCGUACGGUGCCCGCAUUCCUGCUCGAAGAUGGACAAGCCUAACUCUUUGUUGUUAGCCUGGACCUCAGCCUCGUUCUCUUUUUUUUUUUUUUGCGUACUCAGUCAUAGAACGCGGAGAUUCAGGCUAGCAAUAAGGAGUUAUGCUUGUCCUUCUUCGAACAGAAAGAUAGGCAUCGCACGGGUUUUGCAAAUAAAAAUGCUAAGUCGGUGACAAAGAGCUCACUUUCUCAAAAACAGGCCCUCUGCCAACAUCAAUAAAAAUUGAAUAGUUGGGACCUAAUUGAAUCAGGAUAUAGUGGUCACACUACGAGAGAGAGAGAGAGAGAGAGAGAGAGAGAGAGAGAGAGAGAGAGAGGAGGAGAAAUGUAGACCAAGAAGUAAUCCUUCUCCUAAUAACAAUAUCUGUAGGAAGAAUCCCUACUCCUUAUCAAAGUUGAUGAUUCCGAGGAGAAUAAAAUCGCACUUUUGGCCAUCUUUCCGAAUAAGGUAAAAUUACAUUUUUGGUCAGCAAACUAUCGAGUGCGUCAUAUUUGUCCUUAAACUUAUUUGUAAUUACUGACUCAAAUUUUUAAAAUUGUUGCAAACAAGUCCUCUGUCUUAAUUUAAUUGAGUGAAUGAUAAUGUACCAUUGAUGUGUGGCUGCCACGUCAUCAACAAAAAACUGCCAUAUUUCUAUCCUAUUUGCCAUGCGUCACCAUUCACCCAACUUAAUUGUACCGCAAGAUUUUAUUGCAAUAAUUUAAGAUUUUAUUGCAAUAAUUUAAAAAGUUUGAGCUUAAAAUUACAAUAAAUAAAAGUUCGAGAACCAAUACACAACUUAAUUGUACCGUAAGGCUUUAUUGUAACAAUUUAGAAAGUUUGAACUUAAAAUUACAAUAAAUAAAAAUUUGAGAACCAAAAUACUCCGUGCCUCAUUGUUUGAGAACCAAAAGCAUAAUUUAAGCCUUCAAAAUAAUCUUAUCAAAAUUGUUUGAGUUCUCGUGAAGUCUUAAAGUCAAUAAAUAGAGUCCUAACAAUCACAUAAAUCAGUUUCUUAAUACAUUUGUCAGAACAGGAGAGUACCAAGUACUUUUUCAUCCUCAAAGCUCAAACUUGAAAAAUCUGUGUAAUGGAGAAUUUGGUGCCAAUAAAGUAUCAACAGUCAAGUGUCAGCACUGAAACAGGUAGCAGAUUUAUGCUUGCUGAUAAUGUAAGACAUGGUAGAGAGACUGGAAACUAAAAAGCCACUUGAAUUACACAACACAACAAAAUGUCCACAGCAAUAUGAUAUUCCAAGAGUUAAAAGAACACAAAAUAAGGGAAAUCUUAAGAGGUGCAUUCACAAUAAGUCAUUUUCCUAUUUCCCCUACUGUAACCCCUAACCACACACUACAACCCCAACCCCCCCCCCUAAAGACUAUUCCUCCAACCAACAAACUCCCCCCAUACUAAAACACAAAGCUGUAAGGAACCCUAAAAUUUAAGCAACCAACAUUCUUUCCCCCCCCCCCUUUUUUCAGGUCAUUUCCUCUUCUUAGAGGGUGGCUGGGGCAGCUCCUCAUCUUCUUCGUCGUCCUCAUCCUCCUCGUCCUCGUCCUCACCCUCCUCAUCAUCGUCAUCGUCGUCGUCAUCGUCGUCUUCUUCGUCGUCGUCGUCGUCGCUCCCCCCUUCGCCGUUGGCCUCAGGGUCAUCGUCGUCUUCACCUCCUUCAUUCUCGUUCCCCUCGUCACCCGAUUGCUCAUCCUCGCCCCCAUCAUCGUCCUGAUCCUCCCCAUCAUCGUCUUCCUCUUCAUCCUCGUCGUCGUCGUCGUCCGACUCGCCGUCGUCCUUGUUCUCGGGAACGGUUUCGCUUUUGCUUUUGCCUAGUAUCCUUCUAGAACAAUCAUGGUUUGAUUGUGAGAAUUGAACAAAUAUAAAAACUAACAUACAGCGUUUGGUUGUGAGACAGAUGAGAGAUAUGGCAAAAGAAAAGAGCGAGAGAGAAAAGGAAUUUACCUGUAAAUUACUUGUGGCUCUUCCGGACAAGGAACGACCUCACUCGGCAACGAUCCCAUCUGAAAGAAGUUGCAUAGUCGUGAGCAACUAAACAGUAAAAUAAACCGGAGGAAAAAUUAGCAAACUAUUGAUGACUAUAAUGCAAGAACUCUAAAAGAUCACAGUAUACUAACAGAGAAGAGGAACAACAAAGAAAGACAACAUUAUGCAAAUACUAUGAUAAAAGUUGAUAGCAGUACAGCUAGUUUAAAGGAGCAUGUAAAAAGAAAAAUCUAUAAGAGCAACAAACAAUGUUAUUAAAAUGUGGGAUAAUACGCUUAAAAGAAACAAUAAUCUGAAGCUGAAACAUAGAAUUUUAUUAAAAUUUUUUAAAAAAACAAGAUCUUAUAAAUUCAUAAUGCAUGAAAGAAAGAAAGAAAGGUGGAAACGAAAAGCAGGGUAAGAAAAGGAAACAAAACAAAUACAGAAAUAUGACGCCAAUGGUAAGUUCAAUAAUGCAGCUACAAUAUGUAUACCAUGCACGCUAAGCAUCUAGAAUAAAGGUCGCAAGAAUGUUAAGGGUUUAGAUAUUGGAUACGCAUAAAACUACAAGCCAUAAAGGUAGCUUGGCAAGAAGGCUUUUCAAAAAUUAACACACAAAACACGUGCGGGUGCGGGCGGGCGCAUGUUUAUCUGCAUAUGCACAUGCAUACAAACGCACGUGAGGAUGGAAGAAACCUCCUUCGCGUGCUACCUUUACGCUUUAACGCUUUUUGGCCCUUGAUGUUUACGUCGACCAUCAUGUUGAAUGCUGACUUGGACUGGUUAACGACAACGAAUCACAGUAUCAAACCAACAACGGUUUUUCAGAGGGAGGAAAGGCAAUGCAUGUCCAGAUGCGAAAAAAACCUGUAAGAAUAAUCGAUAACAACAGCAGGGAAAUCAUAAAAACGACGUCUUUUCACGGGCACUUAAUUUUCCACCCCAACUUAUUAUCUAAAAAUGAAAAUAGACAACAAAUUUGCAAAGAAUCCUUGAAGGAUUGCAAGUGCAAAUCUUGUAAUAUUUUUAUAAACACUAUAAGAUUUUUAUACUUCAGUGGGCAAAGUGUAAAUUGCUACAUUUUAGCCUUUUAAUAAAAAAUAUGUUUCUUUUCCCACUAAUUUCACAACCAAUUCCUAUAAGAUCCAAACUGGAUCUGAGGACAAAAUAUCAAUUUCAAAUAUAAGGCAUGCUAAAAUAGAUUGUAAAAACACUUCCAUAAAUUUUAAUCUCUACUGAAGAGAGGAAAUAAAAACACAAAAAAAAAAAAAAAUUCAAGCCAAACAUUGAAGGCAACAAAGAACAAUAAUGGAGAAAAAUUUACUACCAUUCAAAAUAAUUAAGAAACAUCACAGAUCUAAAACUUCAACAAAUGUCAUAUAAUUUGUUGAUUUAUUAAAGACAACAAACAGACUAAACUAUACCAAGUCCCAAACCCUCGUGCCCCAAAGUAUGGAAGUUCAAAUGCAUCAUAAUUUCGAAAAAAAAAAAUUAAAAUAACCUCAAACCCUAAACUAAAAUCCAACUAUUUUCUCAUACAUAAGCAACAAGGAUCUCAAAUCCCAUGCACUGAGCACCUUAUUAGACCCAAAAUUACCUCACCCAGAUCACAAAAUCAGAACUCUUAAGCACCAAAAAAAAAAAAAAAAAAACCUAAUUGUUACCCAAAUUCACAGCAAAAAAACGCAAAAAAAACCCAAAAAAUCGAGCUUUUCAGGGCGAGAAACAGGGAAAACCCUAGCGGGGGACGAAAAAGGAGAGGGAAACGCACCAGGAAUCGAUCGGAAGGGUAGAGAGAGAGAGAGAGGAGUGGGGGGGGCGAAGGAGCGGUGUCGCGAUCUCUACAGUGAGUGGGAGAGCGGUAGGGUUUGCGAAGCUCGGGCUAUAAAGAGGGGGGCGUUGAGAGGGUCGGGGUUAGGGUUGAAUUAGGGUUUUUGGGUGGUGUUAGGGUUUAGGGUUUGGGUGAGGAGGGGUCGGGUGCGGCGUGCGUGUGUGUGUGGUUUAAAUUUUGUGCGUGCGCGUUUGUAGGGUUGUCAACGCGCAGAACGCAAGUGAGCUGAGGCCGACUUGUUUCAUAAACACGUCGAUCUUAAACUGGCUCAUUAAAAUACUGAACCAAAAACUUCAGCUCAUAUUCAACUCAUUUAUUAACGAGCCGAGCUAGCUCACAAAUAAUAAAUUUUAUUUAUAUAUAUAUAUAUAUAUAUAGAGUGAGGCUACUAUGCUAUCGGAAACACGGAGCCUUCCGUGCUUCCAGCUCGUUUUCGAUGUUGCGACUUUCGAAUCGUCGAUCGGCUCCGUUAAACUUGAUCUAGAGUAUUUGGAGUACCUAGAAAAUAAAUUUUAUUAUUUUUCGAUAUCAUUUGCCUAGUGAUCGAAGGCACUCAAGAAUCAACAAAUUUCAAAUGGCCAUAGUGAGCCGUUUGCAAGUUUAACGUGUAGAAAUAUCCAAAUCAUGUGAAAUUUUGAUAGAAAAUCUUUUAUACUAUAUAAAACAAAAUCAAAUCUUUGAUUUAAAAUUUCAAUGUCAUAUUAUUACAUUUUGUAAGAUUUUUAUUUUCAGCCGUUGAUUUGAGCACUUCGUUCACUUAGGCAAAUGAUAUCGUAAAAUCAUAAAUUCAUUUUCUAGAUACUUCAAAUACUCUAGAUCAAGUUUAGAGACCGAUCGACGAUUCGAAAUCGCAAACAUCAAAACGAGCUGGAAGCACGGAAGGUUCCGUGCUUCCGAUAGAAUGAGUAGUCUCACUAUAUAUAUAUAUAUAUAUAAUAUAUAUAUAUAUAUAUAUAUAUAUAUAUAUGCUGGGCUACUAUACUCAUAUGAGUAUAGAGGCUCUUUGUACUCAUAACUUUUUGCCCGUUCAGAUAAAGAAUGUGCGGCCAGGAUGGAGUGAUUACAGUUAGAUUGAUAGUGGGCCCCCUAGGGUUAGUGGGUGGUUGGUUGAAUAGUAUAAUUUUAACGGGUAAAAAUGAUUAAAGGGUGGAUCAAACGGCCAAAAUUAUAGAGUACAAGAGCCUACUACUCAUAGAGUAUAUAGUAGCCGAACUCAUAUAUAUAUAUAUAUAUAUAUAUAUAUAUAUAUAUAUAUAUAUAUAUAUAUAUAUAUAUAUAUAGAUCUUGACUGCGGCUACUAUCGGUAGUAAACUGUUCGGUUUACUUACCGAUUUGAUUUUUUGAUGAUAGAGCUUCCAAAUCGACGAUCGGCACCGUUGAACUGAUCUAGACCCAUUUAAAUUAUCAAGAAAUCAAAAUUUCAUGAUUUUUCGGCAUCACUAACUGAACGAUCAAAGGGUCACAAAAAUAUAUAAUUUUAAGGGCCGAUAUGGUGCGUUGUGCUCGUUUAACGGUAUAGAAGAAUUCAAAUCAACUAAAUUUUUGUUAAAAAAUUCUUUAAACUAUUUCAAAUUAAGAUCUAGGUAUCUAGACUCUCAAAUAUAAAAAUUGUGAAUCCUCACUUUUUGAAGAUAUUUAUUUUCAGGCCAUUCAUUUUUUUGUUCACUUGAUGGACAAGAGAACAAUAUCGAAAAUGUGUGAAAUUUCAUUUCCAGAUAGUUUAAAUAGUUUAAAUCAUGUUUAACGUGCGAUCAUCAAUUGGAAGCUCUAUCAUCGAAAACAAAUCGGUAGUAAACCGAGCCAUUUACUACCGAUAGUAUUCUAGCCAAAACUAUAUAUAUAUAUAUAAUAUAUAUAUAUAAUUAGGCUAUAUAUAUAUCUAUAGUACCGAGCCGGUACUAUAGUGUUUGUUUUCGAUCUUACGGGUGUUCAAUAUACGACCACACCGUUAAAUAUGAUCUAGGGUGAAUUAUUGUGAGAAUAAAAUUUUAGUUUUUUCGAUAUCGUUUACUUAGAAAAUAAAUUAUAUCAAAAUAGACGUGGAAAUGAAUAAUCUUUAAAAAUUUGAGCAUAGGACCUUUUAAAUUCAAGAUCAAGAAUGUUAACCUUUAAUCUAUAUAGUUUAAAGUAUUUUCUAUCAAAAUUUAAAGAAAUUUAGAUUCUUCUACACCGUUAACUCUAAACUCGUCAUAAAGCCAUUGAAAAUUGAUCAAUUUUGAAAUAGUUUGAUCAUAAAGUAAACUAUAUCGAAAAAAUAUAAAAUUUUAUUUCUAAAAACUUUAAAUACCCUAGAUCAGUUUUAAUGGUGUGAUCGUUGAUUUGAACGCCCUAAGAUCGAAAACCAACACUAUAGUACCAGAGCUCGUACUAUAUAUAUAUAGAUAUAAUAAUAUAUAAUAGAUAAUAUUAAUAUAUAUAUAUAUACAUAUAUAUAUAUAGUAGGUCUUGUGUGCUAUUAGGAGCACGGAGGCCUCCGUGCUCCUAAGCCGUUUUCGAUUAUGGAGCUUCCAAAUCGACGAUCGGCUCCGUUACAUUUAAUCUAGUGUAUUUGAAGUAUCUAGAAAAUAAAUUGUUUGAUUUUUCAAUAUUAUUUACCUAGCGAUCGAAAGGAUUCAAAAUCAAAGGCUGAAAAUAAAAAUCUCAAAAAAAAUGGUGAUAUAGCGCUAAAUUUUCGAUCAGAGAUAUUGAUCUUGCAGUAAAUAGUACAAAGAAUUUUCUAUCAAAAUUUUAUCUGAUUUGAAUACUUCUACAUCGUUAAACUUGCAAAUGGUAUAUAUCAACCGUAAAAAAGUAUUGAUUUUGAACCCUUUUGAUCGCUAGGUAGAUGAUAUCGAAAAAUCGCAAAAUUUAUUUUCUAGAUAUUUCAAAUACGCUAGAUUAAGUCUAACGAAGCCGAUCGUCAAUUCGAAAACUCCAUCAUCAUAGGAGCACGGAGGGGUCCGUGCUCCUAAUAGCACACAAGACCUACUCUCUCUCUCUCUCUCUCUAUAUAUAUAUAUAGUCCGGCUGCUAUGUUAUUAAUAGUACCAAACAUUUGGUGCUAUCAAGUUUUCUGCCGUUAGAUUAACCUCUUUAAUUAUUUUUACCCGUUAAAUUAUACUAUUCAACCAACUACCCACUCAACCCUUGGGGACCCACAUCAUCAUAACCGCAUAUUUCUUAAUCCAAUGGCUAAAAAAUUAAUAGCACUAAUAACUUGGUGCUAUUGAUAGUAUUCCAGUCUAGUUCUAUAUAUAUAUAUAUAGGCCGUGGCUACUAUACUAUUAUGAGUAUUGGAGUCAUCGUACUCAUAAGUUGUUUUCAAUGAUGAAGCUUCCGAAUCGACGAUCCACGCCGUUGAAUAUGAUCUAGAGUAUUUGAAAAUUUUAGAAAAUAAAUUUCGUAAAUUUUCGAAAUCAUAAUAAAGUCCAUCAAGUGGGCAUAAAAUGAACAGUCAAAAUCGAACGACGUCCUUAAAAAGGAUGAUCGGAUCCUUCAAUUCAAGAUCAGAGUUAUUGAUCUUUAUCUAUAUAGUGAAUAUAAUUUUCUAUCAAAAAUUCAACAAAUUCCGAUUCUUUUACACCGUUAAACUAGCAAGUAUCCCAUACCGGCCGUUAAAAAUUGUCAAAUUUGUGACCUCUUGAUCGUAAGGUAAAUGAUGUCGAAAAAUUAUAAAAUUUGAUUUCUAGAAGUUUUAAAUGCUGUAAAUAAUGUUUAACGGUGUGGUUCGUCGAUUCGGAAGCUCUAUCAUCGAAAACAACUUAUGAGUACCAGGGCGAUCGUACUCAUAAUAGUAUAGUAGCCGAACCAUAUAUAUAUAUAUAUAUAUAUAUAUGAGUCUGGCUACUAUACUAUCGAUAGUACCAAGCCCUUGGUACUAUUGAGUUUUCUACCGUUAGAUCUACCUUUUAAUCAUUUCCACCCGUUAGAUUAUAUGAUUAAACCAACCACCCUCUCAACCCUAGGGGACCACUAUCAAUUUAACCGGGGACCACUAUCAUCCUAACCGCACAUCCUUUCAUCCAACGGUCGAAAACUCAAUAGUACUAAGGGCUUGGUACUAUUGAUAGUAUAGUAGCAUAAUUCUAUAUAUAUAUAUAUAUAUAAUUGAGCUCCUAUACUUUUAAAAGUACCAAGUCAUUGGUGCUUGUAAGUUUUUAGCCCUUGGAUUAAGGGAUGUGUGGUUAAGAUGAUGUGGGUCCCCUAGGGUUAAGUGGGUAGUUGGUUGAAUAGUAUAAUCUAAUGGGUGAAAAUAAUCAAAGGCGUAGAUCUAACGGUAAAAAAUUUACAAGUACUAAAUAUUUGGUACUUUUACAAGCACCAUAGUCGGACUCUAUAUAUAUAUAUAUAUAUAGAAUUAGGCUGGAAUACUAUUAAUAGUAAAACGCUCUUUUUGCUAUCAAGUUGAUGAUAUUAGUCGGUUAGAGUUGAGUGGUCCCUCUAGGGUUGAGUGUUCCCUACUGGGUUAUAGUAUUUAACUCAAUGGUUAGAAAUAAUGAAAAGAGUUGAUCCAAAGGCUAAAAAACUGGUAGCAACAAUGGGAUUUUGCUACUAAUGGUAGCCCAGUCCAACUCUCUCUCUCUCUCUCUCUCUCUCUCUCUCUCUCUCUCUCUAUAUAUAUAUAUAUAUAUAUAUAUAUAUAUAUAUAUAUAUAUAUGUGCGGCUACUAUACUCUUAUGAGUAUAAACCCCUUUAUACUUAUAAAUUUUCGGCCGUUAGAUCUAAUCCUUUGAUCAUUUUCUUCUGUUAAAUCAUACUAUUCAACCAACCACCUACUCAAUCCUAGGGGACCACUAUCAUCCUAAUCGAAGAUCGCUAUCAUCCUAACCACACAUUUCUUCAUCCAUCGGCUGAAAAUUUAUAAGUACGAAAGGGUCUAUACUCAUAAGAGUAUAGUAACCCUAGCCUAUAUAUAUAUGAUAUAGAUUUUCGAGAUCUUACCUAUUAAAUUUUGAUUUAAUGGUUGAAAUUUUAUAUGUAAAUAAACUUUUUUAGAAUUGAGUUGGGCUUAAUAUUUAGGUUGGACUAAAAAUCAAAUAACAAAAAUCUAUAUUAUGUAUAUAUAAUUAUUUAUUUAUAUAUAUAAAUAUAAAAUAUAUAUAUUCAAGCUGUUAUCGAGCAGAACACGAGCGAGUUAACCCUAGCUCGUGUUCGACUCGUUUACUAAACGAGCGAUUCGAUCUCGAAUUCAUUUCGAGCUGAACAUAAGCUGGCUCGCGAACAACGAGCUGGAUCGCCACCCCUACGUGUGUGUAUGUGCAAGACAAGUGGGUUUGUUUGAUUUGGGGAUUUGAUAUGGAGAGAUGUGAUUUAUUACUAUUAUUAUUAUUAUUUUUGAGAGAUAGAUAGCAUGCUACCCGCUUCAUUUAUUUCAUUUAGAAAUAAACUUAGCUGGAAAUGUGAGUCAAUUAGGAUUCAAACUUGGGAUCUCGGGUAUCAACUACCAAGUUCUUUGCCACUUGUGCUAGAGACGGUCAGUAUUAUUUUAUUAUUAUUAUUAUUAUAACACAUAAAAUGAGAAGAACCUAGGGCUUUCUCCUAGAAAAUUAUUUUUUAAAAAAAAUAGAUAAAAUAUUUAUUUUGGUUAUUAUCUAUAACUAUUAUACAUUCUUUUUUAUUUUUAAUGCAAAAAUAAUCAUGCUCAUCGGUACAAUAUGAGAUGGUUAUUAUGUGUCAAUUAUGUAGCUCAUGUUGAUAAAUCCGUACCAUCUAUGUUGUUCGUGUCGACAAAUAAAAUAUAAUGUGCAAGAUCAUUCAAAUUGAAGUAUGGUUAUCCAUCUAAUCCUCUAAAUUUUAUAUGUGUACAAGAUUAUUAUAAAGCAGGCAUAAAGAACUUUCUAUAUUUAAUAACUAUACAAAGGAAUUAAUGAAUGUUUACGCUCUCAUAAAAAUUUUUGAAGAAUAAUUCGCGGAAAAGAAUAUCAAGUUUUCAAUAGGCAAAAAAAAAAAAAUUAUGGGCAAUUGUGUUUGCUUAAAUGGUGCAAAAUGGCGCGCGAAAUGAUUACUUAGUUAAUUUUCUAUAUUGUUUAGGGUAUGUAUAGAUUCAUGUAGAACUACAAAAAAUAGUUUUCUGACGAAAAAAAUUUUCAGAUGAAAAUAAGCUUUUGUUUGGGUGGCAAAAAAAUGUUGGUGGGAAUUAUUGGUUGCUAAUUUUUGUUUUCCUUUAAUUACAUUUUUAUAAUAUAAUAUAUAUCAUUCUUAUUAAUCCAUAAAGGCUUAAUUAUACGCUACUAUAUUAUACAUUAUACAUACAUGUUUUCUCACUCGCUACACUAUAUCUUUUUUUAAAAAAAGUCAUAGCGCAACCAUCCCUUUUUAUUGGUCCCUCGGGUAGUAGUAGAGCAUAUAUUUGGCUCAAUUUGACACAAAAAUAAUAAAAUAUAUAAAAAUAACAAAAAAUUAUUAAAAAUAAUUUGAAAGAAAUUUUUAAUGAGUUUAUCAUGAAAAUUUAUUUGGUAUUUUUUCUACUAUUUAACGUGUGUCUUUUAAUAAAAAUGAUAUAUUUUGCAUAAAAUAAUAGAUUUAUUAACACUAAUAUAGAAAUUAGUAAGGAAAAAAAUAAUUCAAUGAUAUUUAUGAGAAAAAGUAGAGCAAGAUAAAAAUAUAAAUAAAUCUAAAAUACACUGUCAAUAUAAUUAUAUAAUAGUGUUUUUGAAAGAACAUAGUGUAAUAUAAUAAAUAAAAAUUGCACAAAAAUACAGUGUAGUAGGGUGUAGUUAAGUUAUCUAUAAUAUACAAUAGUAUAUAUGUUAUAAAUAAAAUUAUAAUAUAAUAUAUAUUGUUAUAGAUAAUUUAUAUUAUCAUAUAUGGUACUGGAGUCCGGCUACAAUGUUAUCAAUAGCGCCAAUCACUUGGUGCUAUCAAAUUUUAUGCCGUUAGAUCAACCCCUUUGAUCAUUUUUAUCCGUUAGAUCAUACUAUUCAACUAACCAUCCACGUAAUCAUGGUGGACUACUAUCAUUCUAACCAUACAUCGCUUCAUCCAAAGGCCGAAAACUUAAUAGCACUAAUGACUUGGUACUAUUAAUAAUAUUUUAGGCUAGUUCUAUAGUAUUGUAAUAUUAUAUUAUCUUAUACAUAAUGAAUAGGCUAAAUUACAGAAAACCCCCUUGUAAUAACCCGCUUUUUCACUUUCCUUUCCUGACAUUUAAAAACCUACACUUUGCCCCUCUGUAAAAUAAAAAAUGUGCACUUCACCCCCUACCGUUAGGGUUCCGUUAAAAAAUAUAUUUUUAUGCCGAAAAUACCCCUCCGCCAUCUCCCUGUUGCUUCGCCUCCCUCCGGCUCGCACCUCGCUGCCGCCUCGCCGCCUAGCCGCCUCGCCGUCCUCCACUACCGCGCCCUCACCUACAUCCCCUUCGCCGUCCUCCGCCGCCUCGCCUUCGCCUUCUUUGCCCUUCUCCUACUGUCGCCCACCUCGGUUUUCUCCUACUGUCGCCGAAAUCGAGAGCGGUUUUCUCCUACUGUCGCCGAAAUCGAGGGCGGCAAGGGUGCAGGAGGAGAAGGGGAGCAGGUGGAGAAGGAAAUGGAGAGAAAUCACAGCCGAUUGAGGUAGGAAUCGCGGCCGAACGAAGGGGCGGCUGAGGAAGAUAGGGAAGAAGACGACAAUGGCGAGGGACAAAAUGGUCAUUUUACACACCGUAACCCCCCUGUGAACAUUUUUCAUUUUACAGGGAGGUAAAGUGUAGGUUUUUAAAUGUCAGGGGGGAAAAGUGAAAAAGCGGAUUAUUAUAGGGGGGUUUUCUGUAAUUUAGCCUAAUGAAUAUUAUGUAUAUUAAAAACUAGGGUAAACUUCAAAUACCUACCCUCUGGUUUCACACUUUCUUAUUUUAGUACCCUGUGGUUUAAAGUGUAUCAUGUUAGCCCCUAUAGUUUCGCACUUUCUCACUUUAGUACACCGUGAUUUAAAGUGUUUCAAGUUACUACCUUGUGGUUUCAUUUUUUUUUUUUUUAUUAUCCAUUUCACUAAUUUUUUCGUUAAAUCAGUGAUAAAGUUAAAAUUAAAGGGUACUAAAGUGAAUAUUCGAUAAACCUAGGUAGGGUAUCUGAAGUUUUUUUGUAUAUAAUUUAACGAAAUAUUAACGAAAGAAAAAAAAAAUCAGCGAUAAAGUUAAAACUAAAGGGUACUAAAGUAAAUAUUCGAUAAGCUUAGGUAGGGUAUCUAAAGUUUUUUGUAUAUAAUUUAACGAAAUAUUAACGAAAGAAAAAAAAUUAGCGAUAAAGUUAAAACUAAAGGGUACCAAAGUAAAUAUUCGAUAAACUUAGGUAGGGUAUCUGAAGUUUUUUGUAUAUAAUUUAACGAAAUAUUAACAGAGAAGCCGACGAAAAGAAUAAAAUGAAACCACUUGAUACUAAAUUGAUGCACUUUAAACCACAUGGUACUAAAAUGAGAAAGUGCGAAACCACAUGGUACUAAAUUGAUACACUUUAAAUAACAGAAUACUAAAGUGAAAAAGUGCGAAAUUACAGAGCUGAUAUUUGAAGUUUUGUCACGCCCCGGGGUCCCUUUUAGUUUAAAAGGUAGCGGAAAAGCGUCUGAAAAUUUUUUUUUUUUGAAAAUCUGACCCCAGAGUGUGCCAGAUCCGCCACAAAUACAGGAGCUCCACUGUUCACACGGACAGAGUCUCCCCUGUAUUUGCACGGCGUCGCACAAGUACAACAGAGUAUAAGUACACACACAACCACAACCAGAUGAACAACAAGAUAGAUAACAUUCAUCCAUUCCAUUCACACACACAGAUAUGAGACUUGAAUAUGAAUAACAUUCCACAUCUAUCAGUUAAAAAUGUUUCCUACCUGGAAACUGAUUUUGAAAUACUAAAUCCAUAAAUCCACAGAGAAAUCAACUUGAAAACUGAUCCCUACACGGGAACCAUUCUUUUUCAAGACCAGCUACCACGAGGGGUAGAAAACUGUUUUAUAUUCCAGAAAACUCCAAUCCUUACGUACCUUUUCAGAAACCGAAAUUGAAACCCAGAUAGUCAUAAUAAAAUAGAAAACUGAACCAUAAUAUUGUCUAAGUAUUAUUCAAGCAUGAAGGGUAAAAGGAAUAACCGCUCGGGAAGGAGCUCUAUCGCACGGCUAGACAGCUCCGUCACCAGCUGUCCACUCGGACCUGCUACGUCACCUGUAAUGGGGGCGGGUGAGAGAACAUGUAAACAAUGUCUCCCCUCCAAGUGGGUACGCCAAGUCGUAGAGGGCGAGGGGUACUCACUAGUCACGGGAAACUAGAUAGAUAUAAAUGUUGAUAAAGUAAAUUUAAUGCUGAAAGUAAGGACUGACAAGUAUAGAUGCAGGUAAGUAAAACAGUAGCUACAAUAAACAGAUAAGGAUUGCUGGAAAUAAACACUACAGCUACUGUAUGCAUGCGUCAUGACGAAAAGCUCAAAGUCCCCAAUCUCGCUGCCCUAUUGGUCGUAUGACCUCAGGCUCAUGCCACACUGCAACUGUAUCUGACCCUCGCAAUGAAGCCCUGGGUCAGAAGCAUAUACCCCUCGCAAUGAAGCCCUUGGCUCACGGUUGCAAUCCAACCACUUUUCCCGGAAAAGAAACACCCUCUUGCGGUGGAGUUCAGACCGCUGGUGUUCGUGAAAUGCGUACCUGUAGUGGCGAUCAUGUAGUGCUCAAAGAUCAUCCGUCGGCAACUAGCCGACAAUCCAGGCCCUCCAGGCACACCGGCCGUAUAGGCCAUCAGCAACUAAUCGGCUAGUAAGCCAAGAUGGAACUGUAGCAACUCGACCGAACAGGUCAUGAGGUAUCACAAUAGGGGGAACGCCCCAACCAAAUCACUGAUAGUGAAUAGAUAGAAAAAAUCAACUCUAGCUCUAAGCAUGUAGUCAACAUGAAAAUAACUGAGUAGAGAUGUAGAUAUAAAUACAGAUGCAAGGCUCAAUAUACUAUAAGAUAUGAGUAAACAGUAGGGGGAAGAAACGUCACCCGAGCGUGCACCACGUAACCGACUACGGGUCGAAGUACCCACUGUAUGUAUCUGACGAAGGUCUUCGACUGUGAAGACGGUGCAAACCGAACCUAACGAAAGGCUACGGGUUAAGGUCUAACCGCACUGACAUGAAAAGCUAACUCACAACCCCUGCUAACAAAACCACGACCGGUUUCCAAACGAUACCAAAUAAGCCGAGUCACGAAAACUGCACCGGAACUUUCUCGUCGCUCCUACCCGUCGUUUCGAACCCUCAAAACGACGGCGGGUGACCAGCCCAACCAGGCUCAGCGACGCCAUAAUCAUCUCACAGGAGGCACCGUCGGAUGAAAUCCGAACCGAAACGCGUUCUAUCGGCAGAUUUCGCCGAAAACGCCUCGGAAAUCACUUCCGAUUUCCGCAAAGGCUUGGGGCCUUGGACCGAUUCAGUCCAGAGGUUACCGCCUCAGCAUUACACGGCUGUCACGCAUCUACAACGAAGCAAAAGCUAAAAGCCGAUACCGAUACAUGAAAUGAUCAUUUCACUGUGAUCUAGCUUUCUGGACCGUGCACGCAAACCGAAGUCGAUUAUCCGACCGUCUACUGCUGACAGGUUUCAGCAUGUCGGAGCCGUGCUCACUUUGGAGCACUGCCGCCACUGCGGUGCGCGCACGAGCGACGCGAAGUACUGAAAAACUGCACGCAACAGCGCGCAAGAUCGGCGACUAACUACAACCAGGGCAUCUUCGCCGUUGUUGGAGGUGAGCAGAUGUUCAGCACGAGUUGUAAGAUCAUCAUGCCACUUCCGAGACUUAGAAGGCUUCUCGAUUCACCGAAAAGACGCGAAGCCUCGGAAAAACAGUGCUGGAACAUAAAAUGUCCUUACCCAGACCCGAGAGAGCUAGGGUUGGUCGCAGGCCGCCGGGAGGCGGGCGUCCGGCCGAGGAGGAGCACUCGUCCAGGAGGUCGGGAGGGUGCUUGGCCGGCGGCGGGAAGCAACCGUGGCGGCGGCGGCCGAGAUCCACCCUGCACACCUCCUCUCGCGUUGGGCUUCCCGGCGGCGUGGCGGGGCCUGAGGAGUCGCGGCGACUCUGUGCGGCGCCGGAGCACGAGGGGAGGACGUGCAGCACCUAAGUGGGCUGCGCAGCGCCUGAAACCAGAGCGGGCCCGACCUCGGCCGCACGUGACUGGCGGCCACAGAAAGCUCCAGCGGCGGCCGGCGGCUGCCGGGACGGCGGGGACGCGCGCGCCGGGUUGCCGAAGGUCGCCGGGGCCGACUGGGGGCCGCGGCCGAAACGAGCGAGGGCGCUGCUUCCCGGGGGAGCCGCUCGUCUGGGCUGACCCGAGCUGCUGCAGGGAGCGGGUGUGGCUCCGGCGGCGUCGAGCGGUGCCGGGGCCGGCGGGCGAGGACGCCGGAGGAGGGCUCGCAGGGAGGGGAAGCCGGCUUAGAUGCCCUCCGAGCACAAUACACGAAAUGUGGCAGUCAGGGGCUAGGGGAGAGCUAAGAGGUGGCCGGGUGACUUCUCCGGCGGCCGGAGCACCUGCCGGCCGGCCAGGGCCGAGCCACGGAGCUGGGCAAGGAGAAGGUAGGGUGGUUAGGGCAGGCUGGGAAAAAUUAGGGUUAGGGUUCCUUAGCCGAACCUAAAACUCAUUUAUAUCAACAUGACUAAUUGUCGAAACCCCUCCUAGUCCAAUACCCUUUUUACCAAGCCCCUGGCAACAUGUGGAAAAUCCGCAUAGUCCCUCGACAUUCGAAUUCGGCGCAAGAUCGCGCAUAAAAUAUUGGACUUUUCGCGAGAUUAAUCGUUUGCACUUGACCUCUUAGCGGACUUUUCACGGAUUCCCGAAGAUCCGUCCGUCGGAUUUCGAACGGAUUGCGCCAGGCGAUCAGCACGACUGGGCAUCGAAUCUAGCAUUCUGUUUCGUCUGAAAAGGCUCCGAUUUGCGACAAACCCACCCUCACUGGUUCAUCAAACCACAUAUAGGUAUAAUCAUAUGUAAAAACCAUUAAACCCCUUUUCUCGACACACCAUGCAUCAGAACCCAAUUCCGUCAGCGCCAAUGGUUCGCAGUAUAGUCGAGAGUUCGAAACAAGUAUUGGAAGCUAUAUCAGGUCGAUACGCGUCGAAAGUCCACUCUACUCCGCGGCCUCUCCGGAAAAUCGGAGUCUAUCAUCACUUAAGUGAACUUCCGGGUCGCCGUAACACUCUCCGUUUUAACUCGUUUUCUCCUGAAAUUUGACGAGUACACUUAUAAUUAUUUACACACAAGAACAUCGUCAAACAAAAGGGUUCAAUCAAUAAAUGAAAAUCUCAGUUAUUACAAGUUUGCCUUAAAAGACUAUACCAUGAAUACAUCUAUCUAUCUAUCUCUAACUACAUUAAAGGAGGGUUUGGGGACCACGGUGACACGUGUCCCCCAAACCCCCUUCUCUCUCCCCGCUAUAUAUAUAUAUAUAUAUAUAUAUAUAUAUAUAUAUAUAUAUAUAUAUAUAUAUAUAUAUAUUAAGUUUUAAAUUUUUAUAUCAAAUAUAAAAUUUUGAUACUUCCAAAUCUUUACAGUUUAAAUUUCUAAUUUUAUAUUUUUUAUUUAAAUUUUAAAUUUCAAUUUUUACUUAUAAUAUUUAUUUCUAAAUUUUAAGCUUUUUAAACUUCAAAAUUUUAAAGUUUUAAUUUUCUAAUUUUAUAUUUUAUAUUUAAAUUUUAAAUUUUAUUUUUUACUUAUAUUAUUUAUUUCUAAAUUUUAAGCUUCAAAGUUUAAAAUUUUAAAUCUCUAAACUCUAUGAAAUUAAUUAAUUAAUUAAAUUUAUUAAUAAUUAGUUUUAUACAAUAUAAUUAAUUAAUUUUAUUAAAAAUACACAUAAUAAAUCGCAUAAUAAAAUCUAAUUUGAUAGAUGAAAUUUAAAUCACAUAAAAUUUCAUUGUAUAAAAAAAAUACGGAAUUUAAGUUUCAGGAGUAAAAUUUUAAAAAUAUAGUGUAUGUGUGUAUAUAUAAUUAAUUUUAUUAAACAAAAUCUUUUACAAUUUUAUUUUCCUUCUAUUUAUUGGUUUUUUUAAAAUUAUUUUGGUAGAUUUAUCUCAAAUCCUUUUCAUAUAAUUUUUUAUAAAAUAAACUAUUGUAAAAAUUUACUUUGCGCAUAUACCAAUUUUAAUGACUUUUAUUUAAAUAGAUUUAACUAUUAAAUUAUUUUUAUAUAACUUUUAUUUAAUUAAUAAUUAGAUUUAUAAAACUAUAUAAAAAUAUUAAAAAAACUAAAAUUUAUGAUAAAAAUAUUUUUAUAUCCGCAGCAUCGCGCGGGUAUUUUACUAGUAUACAUGAACCCAGUGCACCCAUGGGUAAUUUCUCACACUUUCUUUAAUUUAAAAAUCCAAAUUUAAAAAUCCAAAAUUUGUUAUUGUGGACCAUGCCAUUUUUUCUUUUGGGUUGGGAAUUAUAAUUGAAAAAAGAAAAAACAAAAGAUGCAUAAGAAAAAAUGGGAGGUUAUGGAAUAUGGAGAAUAUAUGGAAAAAAAUUCAUAUUUUUCAAAAAACAUAGGCUUAUGAGAUUUUUAUAUUUUUCAAUAAGAGAGAUAAUAUUUUCUUAUUUUUCAUAAAAAUAAAGUAAUGUACAAUGUGAAGGUUCAGCUCUUCUUUUUCUCUUUCUAGCCCAUUCCACAUUUCCACCAACCUUUUGCUCUUCAGUGUUUUUCUUUGCUCUUAUCUUUUGACUACAUUUUGGCUCAGCAUCUGACCAAAAAUCGAUUAAUAAAUUUAGAGUUUUGUUUAAUUUUACUGAUCAUGUUCUACGAUACUAUCUUCUAUAUAUAAUUUUUUAAUACGUUCUACUCCACAAUCAUCUAGAUUUUUGUCUCUCACUUGCUCCGAUCUUUCGCUAUAUCUUUCGUGCUGUAGCUUGGUGGACUCGAAGAGAGAAAUGUUUUGCUGUGAGUUGAAGGACGAAAGUUAGAUUAGAUAUGCAGAGAUUGCUUUCAUCUAUAUUAUUCCCUAUAUUUUACUAUAGGGUUAAUUGUAUAUAGAUCCCCGCAAACAUAGUGAAUUGCAUAUAUAUUUCUGUAAAGUUCAACUUUUAUAAGUUAUUCCUAUAAAAAUCCUAAUGUUUUCAGAUAUGUUCCUCUGGUUUGUUACCAUUAGAUAACCAUUAGAAAACUGUUUAUAUUUUUAAUUUUGUCAUUACAAACAUAUCCCUCCAAAAAUUAUAACAGUAUAUUAUAAGAGGGGUAAAACUGUCAAAAAUUAGUAUUUAACCUAUGGUUAACUAAACUUUUCUAACGGAUUCUAACAGUAGGAACAUAUCUGAAAAUAUUAAAACUUUUAUAGAAAUAAGUUAUGAAAAUUGAACUUUACAUGAAUAUAACUGUAAUUUAUUAUAUUUUUUUGCAAAAAUUUGUAUGCAAUUGACUCUUUUUUCUAUAUUAUGAGCUUAAUUAAUUUCUAAGUCGAUGAUUGAGUUAGGGACCGAUUCACAUAUUUUUCUUUUUCCUCUGUUAUUUUUAUAUUUGCCUUUUCUUUAAUUUUGAGAAUUUUUACAUAUUUUUCUUUUUUUCUUGAUAUGGGAAUGUACUUAUUUUAUUCACAAAAUCCUAUAAUAUGAGGGGCAUUAUAGUCCAAAAAAAUUAUGUACUUUCCUUCCCAUCCUUGACGUGGCUUAAUUUUUUGAAAAUGAUAUGAUUAUCUUGAACCAUCCUCAAAAGUAAAAUUGUGUGGAGACCCUUCAACCUCAUGCAAAUUUGAAAUUGUCUCUCAACUUUUAUUUUUUCAUUGACAUCCCUUAACUUAUAAUAUUUUAAAAAUUAAGUAGUUUUAAUAAAUAAAAUUGCAAACACCAAAUUUAUUGAUAAUUUCAUCAAAUUUAAUAACUAUAUUAUUGUUUUAGCAAAUAAGUAACUAUGUACAAUGUCUUAUUUCGUCAAAAGGGGUGCCCAUCAACAAAUACGUUAUGUGGUUAUAGUGUCAAGUGCCAGACAAUCCUUAAUCAACAUUUUGGAGUCCCAGCAAAUUUUUAUCCCAAUCCCAAGGUGGUCAUUUAGGAUUGCCUCCCGAUAGGCACCGCAGCCACGUGGCGCUUAUCCAUACAUGCACCCACUAUUUCUCAUUAUUAAGAAAGCAGUGGGUACUAUUAGGUGAAUCAAAUGCGUGCAUCAUAUAAUAAAAAAAAUUUUAUUUAAUUUUGUAGAGUUUAGAUUAAGAAUUUAGGGUUUUAGAAUUAUGCUGUAAAAAAUUAAAAUAAAUUUUAAAAUUUUAAAUCCUAAAUCCUAAACCCUAGAAACUACAAGUCCAAAUCCUAAGCCCUGAAAUCUUUAAAACUUUAAAUGCCAAAACCCUGAAAAGUUAAAAUAAAAAUUUAUGAGUACACAGUGCACCCUUAGGCAAGUGCAUCGUGAUAAUUUCCAGUGUUUUUUUCAAUUAUAAGGAAAAAAAUAUUUCUUUGGGAGGCAACUUCAAGAUGUCCAUUUGGGUUAGGGAUACAAAUGGAUCCGGGUUGGUGGAGCUCUCGCCUUAAUCCUACUGAAUGGAGCGGUAAGUGGGAACAAAAAAUAUAAAAAAAAUAUAACCCAUUCCGAAACUGCCCCGAUCUGCCAAGUAAAUGGAGCGGGAGGUGGGAGGUCCUUUUCUUCCUUCAAUCUGUCCCGAUCCGUCAAAAAUCUACUAAAAAUUCGCUCCUACCCCGAUUCAUCUUAAAUAGGGCGAUAAGUGGGAGCCAAAAAUAAAAUAAAAAAUAACCCGCCCCAAAUCCGUCCUAUUCUGACAAGAAAUGGAGCGGAAGAUGGAGAACACUCCAGCCCUCGGAUCCGCCCCAUUUGCAUCCCUAAUUUGGAGUUGCCUCCUCAAUAGGCACCACAUGGCACUGCAGUGAUGCGACGUCCAUCUACGAAGUUGCAAUUAAGGUUUUGUAUAUAGUUUACUUAUUUGCUAAAAAAUAAAUAAAGUUAUUAAAUUUGACUAAAUCAUUAAUAACUUUUAUAUUUAUUUUAAGUUUUAUUCACUAAAAUAUGUAAUUUUUAAAACGUUAAAAGUUGAGGGAUGCCAAUGAAAAAACAAAAAUUGAGAAAGUUAAGGGAUGUCAAUUAAAAAAAUAAAAGUUGAGGGGCCAUCUGAAAUUAGCAUAUGGCUGAGAGGUGUCCACACAAUUUGUUUUCUAAAUAUUAGUCCCUGUCUAACUAUUUAAUAACUAGAGUAAAGAUAACAUCAACUAACAGUAGAGGCAUUUAUAAUAAUUUACUAUAAUAAUUACAGGGACAUACAUAAUAUUUUUUUAAAAAUAUAUAUUGUAUAUCCCAAAAAGCAUAUAGAUCUUACAUCCUCCAUCCUAGAAUUGACAAAAUUUUAAGUAAUUUUAAUAAAAAAAAAAAAAUUUGAUGUGAUAAGUAAAGUAUUAAUGACCAAGGUUUUAAGUGCCGUCCGUGCCGUAUGAUACGAGGGCGUGCCGUACCGUGCCCCCGAGAAAGCGGCAACGGUACCGGAGGGGUUUCGGACCCCCCUCUGUCUCGCGGCACGCAAAUAUGUGCCGCUCGAGACAAAGCAGCAUGCAGGUGCGGGUCGCCCUUUUUUUUUUUUUUUGGCUUUAUUUUUUUGCUUUUUCUUUUUUCUUUUGUUCUCCAGGGUAUUGAGUCCCUCCCGGGCCACUUAUAUUAUCUUCUUCUUUUUUUUUCACUUUGUUAUUUUUUUUUCAACUUUUUUUCAUUUUUUGACGGAUCCCUUUUUUUUAACUUCUUAUUUUCGGUCCAAGCCCUCAUAUUCCACCACAGACAUUCAUUUUUUCUUUACAAAAUAUUUUGUCAAAAUUUGUCACAUCGCGAAGUUUUCGGUGAAUCAAGGGAACAAAAAUCAAUCUCCUAAAUAAAUUUUGAUCAUAUAUUUUUAAAAAAAAAUAAAAGAACAAAAAAUAUAAAUGUAAUAUCGGGAAUAUAUGACCUUCUCACAAUAUCAGCAAUAUUUAUAUCAAUAUUGUCAAAUAAAUCUUGUAUCUACAUAUGACAAUAUGCCAUAUGAUCAAGCGCGACGAUUUAUGUCGAAUUAAGCAGUCAUCUUUAUAUAAAGAUGUAAAUAUAAAUAAUUAUUGUAUUUGUGAAUUUUGUUAUUGUAUUUUGAUUUCUAUUCUACAUUAGGUAUAGUUAUAUUUUUAUUUACAAAAACUUAAAUGUAUAUUAAUUGAUGAGUAUAUAAAUUAUUUAUUUAAAUAUUUUAAAAUAACAUUAUAGGAUUUUAUUUAAAUCAAAACAACUGAAAUAAGUUCGUGCCAAAGCGUGUUAACAGAAGGUUAUGCGUAUCUAUCGGUACACAAGCGUGCCACGUGUCGGCACGCAGGCGUGUUUGUGCAGUACUGUGCCAGGGACAUAAUGGUACGCCCCCAUGUCACGGCACUUUAAACCUUAUUAAUGACUUCGAAAUAAAGUAGGUAUAAAAUAUACACUUUAUUUUCAUGUGCCUGUAGCAUUGCUCGAAAAGAAAAAAAAGAAAUUUGUACAUCCAAUAUACAGGUAAACAUUUUACACCCAUUCAUCUAAUGGGCGAGAUUCUUUUACUUGCCAUAUAAUGUGAUAAGCAAAAAAAAUCCCAUCCAUUAAAUAGAAUAGUGUAAGUAAUUUAUUUUUAAAUGGCUUGUAUGAAUAGCAUCGUAAGAUAUUUUGGAGCGAAGGGCAAAUUAAAUGAUACUAGUUAAGGGACCCGCGCGAUGCUGCCGGUAGUUAUUUUAAAAUUUAAUUUUAAAAAUUGGUUAUAAAAUUAAUUUCAGAAUUUAAAUGGUACAAUAAGUAUAUCAAAAAAUUUUAGUAGGCAUAGUAGUCCCCCAUUAGUUAAUGAAAUAAUUUUAAUAGGUAUCGUAGUCCUCCAGUAAUUAGUGAAUGAGAAGAGAUAGUCUAAAUUAUUUAACGAGUCCAGCUAUGGUGCUUGUAAAAGCACCAAGCACUUGGUGUUUGUAAGUUUUUUACCGUUAGAUCUACUCUUCGGAUUAUUGUCAACUAUUAGAUUAUACUAUUCAACCAACCACCCACUCAACCCUAGGGGGCCCACAUCAUCCUAACCGCAUAUUUCUUAAUCCAAUGGCUAAAAAUCUACAAGCACCAAUAACUUAGUACUUUUAAAAGCAUAAGAGCUCAAUUCAUUAUUUAACAUUUAUUUUUAUAUAUUUUAUAUUUUACAAAAAUAAAUAUUAAAUUAUAUAAUAAAUUAUUAUAUAAUAAUAUAUCCAUAUAAAAAUAAAAUACUAUAUAUAAUAAAUAAAUAUAUAUUUAUAAAAUUAUAUAUAUAUAUAUAUAUAUGUAGUAUUAUAUAUAUUAUAUAUAAAGAAUGAGAGGCGGGUCCCCGUGGACCUCCUCUCAUGUGGUCCACGAGUCACUUCGGCCUCGUGGACCCAUGAUAGGACCCACCCCACGCCGCGCGGAGCCAGCCCAGCGCCGCGCUGGGCCCCACCCCACGCCGCCGCGCCCACCGGCCUAGCGCCAGCUGGGCCCUCGGGCUUCGUCCAAGCCAGGCACCGGAGCCGCCCGCGCCAGCGGGCACGGCUGCUCCGGCCCUCGGCUUGUACCUGGUUCAGCCAGCGAUCAUGGGCACGUGCCCGCGCGCUCCCGCCUCCGCCCUCGCUGCUCGGCCCGCGCCGCGCCGCGCCAACGCCCGUGCCCUCGGCGCCGCGCCCACUGUCACGGGUUAGCUUUUUUCGCCUCAAAAAUCCCCGCGCGCCCGCUCAAGUGUGCACACCCGAGCAGCCUUCUCGAGUCCCUUUACGCGGAUCAAGUCUCCAGAAUUAACAGCGGAAUAACCAAUCCAGCAUUUCUUGCCAAGCUUUCGCUCCUCCCACGGACUUACAGCCCGACCCUUCGCCUGUAAUCGAACCCUGCCCGAUUUCCUACUGGCUUACUCUUGUGGUAGUCGACGUUACCCAGACGAGAAAUCCCAAUUACGAGUGGCCACCAAGGCUAGGUCUCCCGCUUGCCAACGAUCUCUCUCAGAGGUGCCUCUUAACCGACAUGCCUUGCUGCCUUCGUCGCCAGGCCCAAGGGUAUUACAAGUUCUCCCAACUUGUACAAUGAGUAUACCAAGCGUCUCGCUUUUCCCACGCGUUCCGCCCCCCGCGACUCCAAUCCGCCGCCUCUAGCGUCGAGGUCCGGGCUUCGCGACAUCACAUGCCCACGAAUGGCACUCAUAACCAUAAUUCCUCACCACUCAUGUCUCAUGCGCCUGACAACGCCAGUGGCCAUACCGCACCCGCGGCGGUCGCUCGGCAUCCAAACUGCUUGGACCUCCGAAAAGCACCCAAGUGUGCGCCACAGCUCGCUUGCCCCCAAACAUCAGCACCUCAGCAUUAAACACCCCGGCCGUCCAUGCUUCGCACCUCCAUGCUUCGCGCUUCGACCGUGCGGCCCUCGUGUCCCAUCGGCUUCCUGAAUACGGAACAACACAAGUCCACACCGUCUUCUCGACCGUGCUUACGACCACUCCUUUUGCCCACGCGCGCUCCGCCUGCCCUCGAUCCCAUAGGUUCGUCUCAUAAGCCCCUACAAAGAACCGGCCUCACUCCGCAUCGCUAGCCACUGGCCCCCCUUCUUGCUCACCACGCCUGGCCGCUACACUACUGGUCCGAGUCUCUCAGGUUCCUAUACGGAUACCGAAUACCGCUUGCAUCCUUGGUUCCGCCGCCGUCUGAGUCUCGCGUGAGGGCGUACCACACCUUACGAUUCUCCUCGGGUGCCUCCCUUAGCGUUCCCUAUCUGAGUUUGCUUUCUUGGCGUUCGUGGGCGCCGCGCCCACGAAUCCCCGCUCAGGCACCACUUGCCUUCGCGAAGUCUUGUCCUUUACGGAGACGUCGCGUCGCAUAGGACAUUCCUCAUGCCGCCUCGUCGCUCUAACUAGCAAGAUCCAAGCCGGGCAGAAGGUAGCGAGCGAACCUAGGGAGGAAGCUCCCGGUAUUCCCGCUCCGUAAUGUCGUCGACCUCUCUCCGACAUUACCCUAGGCCCGUGUCCCUUCAACCGUCCAUUAACCGGCUACACGGAACGCUAGGCUUGGCUACUCCGCUAGCCAAGGGACGACCCAUGUCCUAUGGGUCGACGGGGGAGUCGGGGCCACUUACGAAGUGUCCACCCCUCCUCUAAUACCCUUACGAGGCAUCCACUCCUUUGGCACCCCGGGGGUACAAAGGUGCUCACCGAGGGGUACGUUUUCAAGCCCCGCAUGCGGCACCUAUUUCCAAGUCAUGGCAUGGGCCAUUGCUAGGGAAUUGCCUCCGUUGACUUGACAGCGACUCCUACCUGACGGAACACCUCAACUCCGCAACUCCAUAACUUCGUCAACCCAAAUGCCUACCAAGUAUGGCCCUCAAAGGUGUCACGGUCGAGACCCAACGAUCGACCCGUGACACCACGCCGCCCCCGCACCGCGCCCCGCGCCGCCCUCGCACCUCGCGCCUAGCGCCAGCGCCCGCUCCCACGCGUCGGCCUCCUCGUGACACGUGUGUAGUUAUUGAGGAAUAAUAUAUAUAUUAUAGAUUAUAUAGUAUCAAAUAUCCAUUAAAAUUUUUGUGGACUGUUGUGUAAAUAGAUCUUGCAAUGGGGGUCUAAAUGCAAUAAAAAAAAAAAAAAAAAAAAAACCCUCCAACCCUGACCGGUUCGGCUCGCCUCAACUCGGGCUCAACUCAGUCAACUCAAACCAAACCCGCAGGUCGUCUUCUUGUUCUUGUUCUUCUUCUUCUUCCUCUUCUUCUUCGUCGUGUUCUUUUCCCUUCUUCCACGUCUCGAGCCCCUCUUCCUCUUCUUCGCCCAACCCAUUCCCCGAUCGAUCCCUUGCCCCCCCCCCUUCCACUCCUCUCCUCGCCUCCGACCCUUCUCCGCUUCCGCAACCCCAUAUGGCGUCGGAGAUCGAGGUGGUGGAGGAGGCGGAGGAGGCCUCGGAGGCGGCGGCGGGGGCGGCGACGGCGGCGGCAGAGGUGGAGGAGGAGGCGCUGAAGAACGACGUGUACACGGCGGCGGCGUACGGCGAUCUCGAGAAGCUGCAGCGCCUCGUGGAGGCCGAGGGAUGCUCCGUCGCCGAGCCCGACGGCCUCGGCUACUACGCCCUCCAGUGGGCCGCCCUCAACAACCGCACCGCCGCCGCACAAUACAUCAUCGAGGUCUCUAUCUCUCUCUCUCCCUUCUCCUAGCAAUUUCCCUUCAUUUUCGGUGGAUUUUAAGAGGAUUUGUGCGACUGGGGAGGAGAAAUUGGGGUUUAGCGUGUGCUAUAAUGGAUUUUUUGGUGCAUUGGGGGUGAUCAUUGUGUGCUUGUGUGUGCUCGUUUGUUUGUGUUGUUUGCGCAGCACGGCGGAGACGUCAAUGCGGCCGAUCACACGGGGCAGACGGCGCUCCACUGGAGCGCCGUGCGCGGGCACAUCCAGGUCGCCGAGCUCCUGCUGAAAGAAGGCGCCCGUGUCGAUGCGGCGGAUUUUUAUGGAUAUCAGGUUUCAGAGUUCAAAAAUCCAAUUUUUAAUAAUCUGCCAUAUUAGCUGAUACUUUGCUCUGUUCCUUCCGUUUUCUGGUAGCUGGUUCUGAGAUAAUUAGGCUGUUUGUGAUGCUCGAGACUUACUAGUUAAUUGGUGAAAUUGGCUGUUCCUUCAAAUUUGCUGCACUUUUCUACCAUUAUUGUGCCUGAUUCACGUCGGGAAGUAACUAACCACCGUCUUCUUAGAAGGUUCCUUGUUGUGGGACAUCUAGAAGUUCGUUCGUUUUUGUCCUUUAAGCAUUUGUGAUGUACCCUACCCUAUAUAGUUGGAGAAAAAAGAAAAAAAAAACACUUGGAUGAUGAUGAUAACGGGAAUGCUGUACUCCUGGUUGUGUCUAUAUUAAUAAUUCAGCUUUGUCUUGUUUUACCAGCAAAACAUGUCUAUUCAGUACUAUGUCAUUGCAAGUUUUGCUGAAUCAUUUUCCACGGCUUCCAUUUAGUAUAGGUUCGAACUUCGUCUAUGUGUUAUGUCAAUUUGGGAAGGUUCAAUUACCCACUUAAUGGUGUGCAUGCUUAUGUGUAGGAGAAAAGCUAAGCUUUACUCACUAGAGACUAAUCAGGGACCGUAAGGUUACAUUUGACUAUGGUUGGUGAAAUAAAUCUGCUUGUUAACUAACCUUACUAAGAAGAGUAAAUGGGAAGACCGAAAAAGAGACUGUUCCACUAAAAAAUCACCAAAACGCGGAUUCGGAAUUUGCUAAUUGAGCAUCAUCAUAUACGCCAAAUAUGCUAGAAACUGAAGUUCUCUAGUUUUUAGUAAAGUUUACAUGUCAUCUCUCAUUCUGUUUAUGCCAAUUUUCUUGAUCAAUUUUUUUUCAUCUACCAUAAUUAUUCGUGGAAAAGUGUAAAUUGUAGCUUGAGCUAUGUUUUGGUCAUUUUUUUCCCUCUUGUUCAGUGCUCACCUUUUACAUAAGAUCAAGAAGAUUAUUGUGUUUUCGUUAUUCUUAGACAAUGUAUUUUCCCUCUCACUUUGAUUGCAGACCACCCAUGUUGCAGCCCAAUAUGGCCAGACAGCAUUUCUUUACCAUAUUGUGGCCAAAUGGAAUGCUGAUCCUGACGUCCCUGAUAAUGAUGGAAGAAGCCCUCUGCACUGGUACAAGUCCUUUUCAUUUUUUUCCCCCUUAAAUUAGUCUGUUUGAUGGUAUAUUUGAAGUUGGCUGUAUAUUUGAGGUGUUCAAAGUGCUGAACAACAAAUCUUUUACAUCACAUUAGACAUGCCUUUUUUUAAUAAUGUCAUAUGAAAUGAAUUCAAAUUGGUUAGUAUCCAGAAAUUUUAUGCACUGCCAUCCAAGAUAUAUCCUUUAUCUCAUUCAUUUUUUUCCUCCCUUAACAAAAAUAGAAUUGAAACUUUUUCUUUAGUCGGGGUACGUACUCUCCUCCAAGAUACUAGCUUGUUCUUUCUCCUUUGUAAUUUCUCUUCUUUAUAACAUAUUGGAGCUUGUAGGGCGGCUUAUAAGGGCUUCGCUGAUUGCAUACGUCUUCUUUUAUUUUUGGAUGCUUAUAGAGGACGACAAGAUAAAGAGGGUAUGUACUAGAUUAUUUCCUCGAUUUUUUUUUUUUUUGGUUGUUGUGGUUGUUGUUGUUAUUGUAUGUUACUAAAUCAUCUUAGCCAUUGCAGGCAUAUGUUUUUUAACUGUUCUUGCUUCUUAGUGCUCUUGUUUUUAUACUUCCAAUUAUAUUUUGGACUAAAACUUGUUGUCAUCAGGAUGCACUCCUCUUCAUUGGGCUGCUAUAAGGGGGAAUUUGGAGGCAUGUACUGUGCUAGUUCAAGCUGGGAAAAAGGAGGACUUGAUGGUGCAAGAUAAUACUGGUUUAACUCCUGCACAGCUUGCUUCUGAAAAGAAUCAUCGGCAAGUUGCUCUUUUUCUUGUAUGUACUCUGAAUCUGGGAUAGUUAUUAUUUGUUUCAUAUCUAGCAUAUGUAGAGCUCCUGUAUUACCUUUCUAUACUUAAAGUAAUAAGAUAAAGUUCUGAUAUUAUAUAACCGCAUCUUCUGUUUCUUUUUAGGUCUUAUUGUUAUAAAGGAUUGUUGUUUUCUUUUCAAGCCUCUUUUGGCGUCUUUUUCUUUCCGUCUACUUGAGUUGCUACACAUUGUCUAUACUUCACAGUUCAUACAUAUUUACUGUUGACCCUGAAUUUCGUUCAGAGAUUAUUAUAAAUUAGGUUUAGAUGAAUAGAAGCUUUUGACUUCUACAACCUAUGGAAGUAUGAGAUACACAUUGUCUUAAUAGUUCUCUAGCACCAAGUUUUACCUGGCACACUCUUUUAUUUGGUGAUCAGUGCUGGAAUAAAUAUGAAGAUUAUUAAAUAUUUCGUGAAACAUUAUAUCCAUGUAUGUUAAACUCAGAUAAAUGUAUGUAUAUUUGCUGUUUUCUAGCUGUUACUGUUCCAUCUCAUCUAGUGAUUUUUACGAUACUAAGGUAUCUCUGAAUUGAGUAUAUUAGCUUAAAAGAUUUGACUUCCAACUUACUGUUGCAUCAUGCAUUUCUUGAUGUCCAAUUAAGGCAAUUUUUACUGUAAAUAUUGAAAAUGAGUCAAUUGCAGCUAUUGUUCACCUUUGGAAAUGACACACUCCGAUUUGUGAUUGUGAUGAUUUCAUAAAGCAUAUUUCUACAGAUAUACUUCACAUGAUUGUCAACUUUAAGUUCAAGAGUUAAAGAAGCGUGAGACAUUUAAAGGCAGAUGAUUGGAGUGGCUUGUUAAUUGAAAAAUUUUAUCUUUUAUUUUUUGGUAUUUCUAUUUUAGUUGUUUCCCAGUUUUGCAUCAGAACCCUAUAAAUAGCAGUUUUUCUGCUUUGACUUCUCUGAAAGAAAUCCAAGGGAACAAGAAAAUUUUUAAUUGUAUGCUACAGAGUUGUAGUGUGAAUAUCCGAUCAAAUUUGCAACAAAGAAUAAUUCUUUUGGUUAAAGCAGCUUCUAAACCGUUACAAAAGUGCGUUUUAUUUGUUCCUUCCUAUUGGUAGUUUUGAAAAAUCAAACCCUUUUUCCUGCCGUAUUAAUCCUAUAUAAGUGUUAUUACAAGCUAUCAGGCCCUAAAUUAGACUUAUUUGGCAGGGGAAUGCUAGAAGCGUAUUUGACAGGCGCUGCGAUGGGACCAGUAGGCUUGGGAAGUUGUCAAAAUUAGGACUUGCACCUUUUCUCUGGUGUAUUAUAAUAACCUUGCUUGUAAUAUAUAUUCAUUCAGUCAUCUCAGGUACACUGUACUUCCAAUUCAAAGUUUGUUCACUAUAUGACGUAAAUUGUUUUGAUAACUUAUUCAACUUUCUUUUCCUUCUAUGCAGACUUGUAUCUUUUGAACCUGACAGCUGUAUUUGGGCUGUUUGCGUGGUUAGGGGUUUUCCUUGCAUCCGCCGGACUGGUCAUGUUUUAUAAAUGUAGCAGGUGUGGUUUUCUCAAUAUCAUUCAUCAGUGUGACUUUCAUGUAUAAGUAAUUAGCCUAAGGUAUACAAGUUAAUGUGAUUUUAUGCAUUCAUAAAUUGUUGUUGCUCAUUGUGAUUUGUGAGUGCUUUGACUGUUUAUCUUCUUCUAGAAUUUUCAAUGAUUUUAUAGUUACUUGCAAUAUUUUUGAGGUGUUAUGUAUGUGUAUUAUGUAUCUACGUAUCAACAUACAUAUGUACUUUUUUGUAUUGUGUACCCUUAUAUAUAUAAAAAAAAUUUCCGAUUUUUUGGAAACCGAAUUAGUUAAUUUAGGAAACUAACACAACAAGAAUGUAAUUUAGGAAACUAACACAACAGAGUUAUAAUUAACACCAAGAAAAGAUGUUGUUGAGCAGUGUAAAUAAGAAGUUCACAAUUAAUUUUUCUAGAUCAUGGCAUGUAUCUGUACCACUGCUAUGUCCUGUCUAUCGUGAAAUGGCAUAAAAAACUGGUAUAUAUACAUUCUUGCUAGUAAUUGCUUUCAAACAUGUCCAUAUUAAUCUUUUUAUUGAGAAGGGUCUUGCUUUCGAAAUUUCCAUUGCCUCUUAGUUUGGAGGAUUAUACACAUUCCACAAGCCUUGCUAUGUUUGGAGAAUUAAUAUUUCAUACUCCCAUUUUGUAGUUGUACUACUGCUUUAAGGUUGGAUCUUGAAAUUGCCAGUGUCUUGAAAAACAUUUUAUUAGGAGCAAUCAGUCCAUUUCUUACUUAUCUCCUUGCAGUAUAUUCAUAUGCCAAUAUGCCAUAUUUCACAUGUGCAUAUUUUCAUACUUUCUGCUUUAUCUGAUUGCCAUAUUUUUGUAUUUUGGUGCAGGAAAGAUCCUGGUUAUAUCAAAAUGAACAUACGGGAUUCACAAAAUCUUAGAGACGACGUGAGUUGCAAAAAAAUGUUGAUUUUGUUUUUUCUAGUUUUUAGAUCUUCUUCUCUUUUGUCAAUAAACUUUGAUGACAUUUCAGUGAUUAGUUUAUUUGUUUGUCCUGUUUCCUGAAAAUGUCAGUACAAAGUGCAAACUUCUGUAUUAGAAUUCUGUCGCUUCUUUUUCAUGUACACGGUGAUAAUAUUUUGGUUCUAUUACAUUUACAUAGUUGCACUAAGGUCUAUUUUCAUGCUGCCUUUUUUUUACAGACAAAUCUUGCUUCUUGUUUCUUAUAGCAUAGAUAUCUCCUUGUUGGACCACUUUCGAACUUACAUAUGUACCAACUUAUUGAUUGGAUGCGGCAAACUAUAGGAGCGGGAUGUGUUGCCUCUUCAAGAGGCAAAUACUACAAACAUAGUCUAGAUUUAUAGGAACAGAUGAAUUUAGCAUUGUUAUUGAUCUAUUAGGUUCUUCAUUUAACCUUAUUGAAGGACCUAUUGGUUCAAUUUACUAUUUGGUAGUUGAUUUAUUAAUGCCAUUUCUUGGCAAUUGAAUUUACUUAAAGUUGUGUCUCAUUUCGCACCAUCCAUUAUCAAACAGGAAUUCUAUUUGCAUACUCCUUUUCCAUUAUUGGCUAUUUCUUAGCAUAUAACCUUUCGGCAUUAUGUCUCCAGCGUUUAAGGGUUGUUUGGUAAAUAUUUCAUUCUAGACUAAUAGCCAAUUUGUUACAUGUGGAAAUUUGUAGGAACCUUUGCUAAAGAUUGAACUGGACGAUCCAGCUCUGCUGGCUGGAAAUUGGUCCCAGCUAUGUGCUACGUGCAAGGUGUGUUUUGCUCUUUAUAUUUUUAUUUUCUUUCCAUUAUUAAGAUUCAUCUUCCAUGGUCUUGAAAAUCUUAUUUGGUUACCAUUUAUAAAAUUCUUAGAUAGUGAGGCCUCUGCGCUCAAAGCAUUGUUCCACAUGUGAUCGCUGUGUUGAGCAGUUUGACCAUCACUGUCCCUGGGUCUCUAAUUGCAUUGGCAAGGUACUUUAUUCUGGAGGCCUGUAAUCUUAUUUCUGAAGUAUUUAUGUAUCUAACCCUGCAAAUUUAUCUAUCUGUCUAUCUGUAUAUGUAUCAAUCUAUCUAUGUAUUAACAUCCUUGAAUAACUCAAUUUCUUACCUAUACAUCCUUGCACUUAAAUAAUAAUAAUAAUAAUAAUAAAAUAAAAAAUUCUCCCUGUAGACAACUUUUUGAAAACAAAUUCCACUUCCUCCAUGAUUUGGAUGACUUCCCUCCUUUAAAUAAUGGUAUUUUUGCGAAAAAGAAAUCGAUUCUUCAACAAGUAUAAAUGGAAAUUCAGAUUUUGAGAGGGUAUAUAAGUUGUUACAAGUAACCCUGUUUCUUUCCAUGUAACUAUCGUUUUCUACCGGCAUGGCCAAUAUUUUUUCAUGUAUUCUGGUCUUCUAUCAUUUUUUUUUCUUUCUGACCAUAGAUGAUGGCUUGCAUCUGCAGAAAAACAAGUGGGAGUUCUUUAUGUUUCUUGUUCUAGAAGUUUCGGCAAUGAUUGUUACUGGUGCAAUAACCAUUAUAAGUACGUUUCCUGAAGCCUAUUCUCAUGAAUCUUUUCCUUUGCGAGUUGGUUAUCAACAUUUAUAUUUGAACUCAUGAUUACUGCUCUGUUUUGUAGGAAUUGUGAAAGACCCAUCUGCGCCAUCGUCUUUCGGUGCAUGGCUCAACUAUUCUGCUACUCAUUAUCCUGGGGCCGUAUCAUUCUUGAUAAUGGACUUUUUCCUUUUCUUUGGUGUUGCAGUUCUAACUGUUGUGCAAGCAUCACAGGUAAAGAAGGAAGUUAUAAAAAUGGAAUUCUUUCACCUCAGUUUAAUAAUAUUAACGUGUCAAUUGUUUGCUCUAUCUCUUUCUCUUCUUUUAAGUACGUAAUUGAUAUAUUACCUGGUAUUCUCUGACCUCACUUCUCAGUUUGAACUGUGAUCCUAUUUAUGACUGCAAACACCUUUCCUGUUAAGAACUGCAGUCUGUUGAUUGUUGAUUCAUUACUUCUGUGCCCCUGAUUAAGUCCAAGGUUGUGCUAAGACUGAUCAACAAAGUUUAUGAAUGCUUUCAACGUACGUAGAUGAGUGAAAAGUAAUAAAUUUCAAGGUACAGAAAUUUAUUGAAGUUAAUUUAGAGGUUCUAAUGUUACCACAGGAUUGAUUUGACCCCAGUAUUUGAUUGAUUCUACAUCAUAGGAUGUUUGAGCCUCGGCAAACAUUCACCUCCAAGCCUGAGUAUUAUGAUUGAAGAAUGGAAGUUGCUCAUAUAUUAUUCACCACUAUUCUCUUCUUUGCUUCUUAUCGACUCUGCUUCUGCCUGCAUGAUAUUGUUGUCUUUGAAUAAUUGCUAUUCUAAUCUCAAUCAUUUUUCUAAAGCUAUUUUCAUUCCUUAGAUCUCGAAGAAUAUAACGACGAAUGAAAUGGCGAAUGCGAUGAGAUACAACUAUCUCAGAGGGCCAGGAGGCCGGUUUAGAAAUCCGUACGAUCAUGGUGUCCGAAGGAAUUGUUCCGACUUCUUGAUAAAUGGCUACAAUGAGGACGUGGAGCGUCCGGACCAACCUUUGCCAUCCGAUGAGGAAAUGGGAAUGAUCCAGAUGAUGACGAGAAGUGCAGUCCAGCACAACGGGGAGAGCCAUUCUAAUUAUGGUAAUGGCGAUGGCUCUUAUCAUGCCGUCGAUUCACACCAUAAAGAUUCAAAAUCUCACUGUUGUCAUGUGAAUUCUUCACAGUGCAAUCAUAACAAGAGCAAGACCGAAGGUACCCCUCUCGGCUUGGGUUUAGGGCUUGGACGAAACAAUGCUCAGCAUACACAGUCGGUUCUUUACUUGUGAUUCAAUUUUGCCCUUUGGCGAUCAUUGUGGAAUGCAUUGGACAGUCUGUCUAUUUAGUUUUGUGCAGCAUGCUAGUUGAACGCCAAUCUUUUGACUCGAUAAAAGUCAAAAAAAGAUGGAAAUUCUUUAGGGUUUUGGGAGAUUCUUAUAUGUAUUUAUUAGUUGAAGUUGGUUCCAAUAUCAAAGGGCUCCUAUUGAGACAAUGUCGCGAGGAAAUUUGAGUAUUUUUGUGGCACGAAAGGGGGGGAAAUCGUAGGAGACAUAUGCUCAGCUUGUGAACUCGAUCUGAUUGCUGUGUACAUGAGUGUAUUCCAUCAAGUUUAUCUGAAACGUAUCGUACGCGUAAAAUCUGAAUAUGGUUUACUAUAAUUGCUAUACUGUAAAGUUGGUAGCAUUUAUACUUUCUUAUUCCCUCAAUUUAUGUUUUUCUUUUGUUCAAGUCGAAAGUGUGUGUGGGAUCUUUUGCAUUAGGUGAACACAUAACGGUCCGUCAGGUCCGUCAGUUGUGAGGCAAACUGCGGUUUCUCUUCCGUUUAUGAGUAUGCGAUUUUUCGAUGUGCUCGUAAAUGAUGAAGAGAUCAACUCUCGAACAUUUUCGUCGGUCGUAGGAGUGCUGAACUGAGAUAUAAAAUUUGCUGGUGAAUUCUUAGUCUAUCUGAUUCUUUGUGAUGCAAGUGGUAGAAGUCCUCUUUUGGUGAAUCUAUAUGCAAGUGAAAGUGUUAUUUAUGAAAAGGUGCUGUAAAAUUAACAAAUUGAAAUUUAAUGGUCAUGUCCUAUUUUUUGCUGUUACAUGAUUACACAGUAUAUUUGAGAAGUGAUGCAAUGUUCUACUAGUAGUGGAAUGAGGAAUUACAGGGUUGCAUCACAAAAGCUCCUAUUUAUUUCUCAAUUGAGUAGGAUUGUUUAGAUUUUAUGUUUGGUUUUUUAUGCGGAAAAAAAGAUUAAAUGAGGAGGACCUCGUUCUCCUUUAUCGGGGCCUUUUCUUAAAUCCAUCAUUCAAAGCCGUGUUGAGAUUUGGACAGAAUUUUUAGAUUGAAACCAGUUUUUAAGAUCCGAACGCAAGAUGAAUCACACAGCUUAUCAUAUAGUAUCAACAAUUAUCAGAUAGUAUCAACCAGCUCUCGUAAAGGAACUCCUUGACAAAGUUGCGCUUAUGAUUUGGCCUUUACUAAAAACAAGAAUUACAAUAAAAUCACAAAAUCAACAAGAAUUACAAUAAAAUCACAAAAUCUUAACACCAUGGAUAAUUAAACUCUAUACUGAAGUUGAAAUCAAAUGCCGUUCCUCCGUUGAGCCACGUGGCCUUUCUUUUAUAACAAAUGCCAUUCCUUCGUCGAGCACGUGGCCUUUCUUUUAUAUGGGUUUCCUCUCUCUCCCUCACAUGUUCUCUCUCCCUCACACGGACUCACAUGGGCUAUGUUCAAGGGGCAUGCAUGUGCUUCUUUUGCACCUUCUCUCUACAACUCUCUCUCUAUUGUUUUUCCUAACCGAACACACACACACAAAAAUACUUUUUCACUUAUUUAAUUGCACCUAGAGUGGUUUGCUAAUUAUUUCUUCUUCUUUUUUUUGACAAAUCAUAAAAAAACAUCGUUCCGUCAUUAAGUCACGUCGCAUGUUUCAUUAAAUCUGGAGUUUUUAGUUACUGUAACCUCCAUGUACCCUGUGUUUGGGGAGGAUGCAUGUAUUCUAAUGAUAAGAAAGAAAACAAAAGGAGAAGGAAUAUUCUAUGUACUAUGAAAAAUUUUGUUUCAUGCACCCUGUGUAUCAUGUUAAACAAUAUUGAUUUGAAAGUCAAGCUCAAUUAAAAUCAACCAGAAGAACGUCAUCUGGCUUUUUCAGUUUCUAACCUUUUUUUGUCGCCGAAAGGUCUACAAACUAAAAUUUUUAUCAAAUUGCUGUUAUGUUCCGUCCUCACUUUUCGAGUGUCAGGAUGACAAGAAAUUUUAAAUCUAGCCUAAGAAAAAAUAAUUCCAACAUAUAUUCAAAGUUUAAAACUUUUUUUACACUUUCUAUUUUCUUCUAAAAAAAACUAUAUUCCUUAUAGAAAAUUCUAAAUCUCCUGUUUUCAUUCCAAUUCCACUAUGAAUUAUUUGCAAAUUGUCUUUUAUUCUCUCUCUAUUGUUUUUCCUAACCGAACACACACACACAAAAAUACUUUCUCACUUAUUUAAUUUCAUCUACAGUAGUUUGCGAAUUAUUUCAUUUUUUUAAAACAAAUUAUUUAAAAAACUGGAGUUUUUAGUUACUGUAACAUCCAUGUGCUAUAUAUAUAUAUAUAUAAAGUUGGGGAGGAUACAUGCAUUCUAAUGAUAAGAAAGAAAGCAAAAGGAUAAGGAAUAUUCUAUGUACUAUGAAAAAUUUUGCUUCAUGCACCCUGUGUAUCAUGUUAAACAAUAUUGAUUUGAAAGGCAAGCUCAGUUAAAAUCAACCAGAAGAACGUCAUCUUAAUUUUUCAGUUUUGAACCUUUUUUUGUUGCCGAAAGGUCUACCAAGUAAAAUCUUUAUCAGAUUGCUGUUAUAUUCCGCCCUCACUUUUCGAGUGUUAGAAUAACACGAAAUUUUAAAUCUAGUCUAAGAAAAAUAAUUCAGACAUGUAUUCAAAGUUUAAUAUUUUUUUAACACUCUGUAUUUUCUUCUAAAAAAAAUCUAUAUUCUUUACAGAAAAUUCUAAAUCUCCUGUUUUCAAUCCAAUUUCACCAUGAAUUAUUUGUAAAUUGUCUUUUACUUUUCUAAGUCCAAUAAAAAUAGUAUCUCACGCACAAGAUAAACUUUUUUCUUACAAAAUUUUUCAUACUACAUAAAAUAUUCCUUGUCCUUUUGCUUUCUUUCUUAUAAUUCCGAUGCAUGCAUCCUACCCAAUUUUUUUUUAUAUAUACCAAUAUUGUUUAACAUCAAACACAGGGCGCAUGAAACAAAAUAUUCCAUAGUACAUAGAAUAUUUCCCUGUCCUUUUGCUUUCUUUCUUAUCAUUAGAAUGCAUGCAUCCUCCCCCCAACUUUUUCUAUAUAUAGUAUUGCUGUUUACCAUCAAACAUGUGCAUGAAUGUUUAGGUUUGUCUCUACUUAUUUGUCUUUCAACAUCAACGAUUAUAUAGAAUAUUCUCCAACUUGCUAUAUAUAGAAACUUACAACUUCUACUAGAAUUAUUAGGGCUCAUUUACUUUACGAAGGAGGGGUAAUUUCCUUUGGCUCUAUCUAUAGAUCCAGCCAGUUAUAUAUAUCCAUGUGUUUGUUCUAGAAUAAUUUGGGAUA
rnacentral:lncRNA from 1 species